CUCGACUAAGCGCAGUUAAGGGCGGAUAAAGCCUGAGUACCUCGUAAAGUAUCAUCUGGACCUGUCACAUACAUACAAACACAACUGAGAUUAAUAUGAUCAAAUUGAUCAAUAUCGAAUACUAUUUCCUUCGUACUUACAAUUUUGAGGUGGUUCAAUUCACCAUAGUCGGGCUUAUUAUUGCCAAACACUUGCAAAACCUCUUGCCUUGCACGUUCUUGCCAAUCUUGAUGCUUGCUCAAUAAGACCAUUGUCCAAUUAAGCAAAACAGAGGUAGUCUCUUGGCCGGCAAGGUAAAAUAGCUUACACUCUUCGAUCACAUCGUUCAUGCUGAACCCAACAUUUUUGUUAUUUCCAUGUUCUUCAAUCUCUCUAAAACUGGUUUCCAUCAGUAUGCCUAACAAGUCAUCAUUCGCAGCUUCCCCUGCUCUCAUUGCCUUCUCCCUAUUUUUGAUGAUUCCCAUCAAUGAAGCCCGGAUUUCCUUGUCAAUUUCUUUCAUUCUCCUAUUUCUCUUUGUAGGUAAAAACCUAUAUAUAAGCAAUGAAACAACUUUAAAGACAAGAACUAAACAAACUAAUCAAACCCUUAAUUUUUUUUUUUUACCCUCUUUUUACCAAUCAGAAAUCUGCUGGAGCCUCUUAGAAUAACUCUAUGAUUAGCUCAAUCAAGAUAUCUGAGCCGAAAUCAGCUAGGUCUACUUCUAAUAUUUUGCGCGAAAGAAAAUAACUCCCACAAAGCUAAUCAAAGCCUACUCAUAAAUAAUCCUAUAUGACAUGUAUAUAUGAAUGUUUCCAGUGAAGAGAAAUGUGAAUAUACCUCCAUCCUGGAAUGUGAACUGAACGAAAGACUUGCAUUGUGAGUUCAGCUAGCUCUGCCUGGAGCUGAAAAAUCCUUCUUCCUUCUUCAUAACUACUCCCAAAAGCCGUUCGAGAAAUCACAUCACUUGUUAAAUUUGCAAGAUAAGGCCAUACAUCCAACUCAGAUGAUCCUUCUACAGACAUUUGCUUCUCCCACUUUGUAAUUAUUUCGGUACAACUCAAGUAGAAUGCUGGCAACAUAAGCUGUAACAAAAGCAAGAAAUCUAAAUGAGGGCAAAAUCGAAUCUUCCAAAGAUAUGUAAACAAAUGGAGAAGUUAAUUAAUAAACCUUGAGCUUCUCUUGGUGGAAGGCUGGGUUGAUGAGUUUUCUAUGUUUAGCCCACUUCUCCCCCUCAAGGCUAGCCAAUCCAACUAUCAGCAGCCUGGCAAGUGGGAUUGAAUUGACUUUUUGAAAAUCAUUGAUCUUGGUAAAUAUCGCUUUUAUUUGAUCAGGAUUCAUAAUAUUCACCCUUGGUGUCGGACCAAACCACAUGAAAGAAUUCUUACCUGCAGAAAUUUUUUACCAAUAUACGCACAUGUUACUUGUUAGAGGCAGAUGGUACAUUGAAAAUGGUAGUAUACCUAAGCUGUGAAAAAUUAGUGAUUUUAUUCACAAAUCAGUCAAAGAAUAACCAUUCAUACUAAUUGAUUUUACCUCAAGCAGAAAAGAUCUAACAAGCAACUUUGCCCAUUAUAAGGUAAACAAUUAGAAACAUGGCACGAUUUAUAAGAUAAUGUAAAAGCCUAACGGCGUUGAAACAGUGAAUUAAUCAGACAACACUCAGCAAAAGGAACAACGCUGCCCUCUGGGAAUUUUACAUGUGGCAUAGCCCAUCCACAGGUUGAAUUACACCCACGCACCUAUCUCAUCAAUACAUUAGUGGUUCUAGCCACUCAGUCAAGGCUGAGUGGUAAAGUAUCACCACUUAAUUAAAAAAAAAAAAAAAAGGAAAAAAAAGAGAGAGAAGUUUAGCCGCAACGUCGAUUUUUUUCUCUGAUCAAAGAAGCGUAAAAUUAUGUUUUAACCCACCAAAAUUUUCAAGAAUUAUCUUUACGUGAACCAUCUCUACUGAAUCAGAAGUCUAAUCAAAUUUCUUUCGUCGGAGAGGAUUAAUUCUUUAAGCAGUGGCACAGUCCAGAUAUUUGAGUCAUUUGAGACCAGAACAGAACGUAUCUACUUUUGAACGAGUAAAAUUAAAAGAGUACACGCCGGGAUUGACAUACAUACCAUAAUCAUUUACCAGUUUAUGAAGGAAUGGAUUGACACGAAUAGCAAUAUUGUCAUCCAAACUGAGGGGUCUGGCUUUGGCUUCCUUCAGCUCGAUGGAAUUUUCUUUCAAGUCACCAAACAGAAGCCUGUAAGAAUUGCCUUUUAAACCUUGCUGUCUCAGGAAUUUCUCCAGCUUCUUGGGCCUCAGCCACACCCAGUUCAGCACUCUCCAUGCCCAUGUUAGCACCGUUAGAAUAACAAUGGUAACAGCUAUGGAUUUCAGAGGCAACUCCAUUUCACACUGACAGAUUUUGCGGGUUUAAAUUUGCAGAGACGAACGAGAAUGAUAUAUAUAGUCAUCAAGCGAAUGAGAAAAUCGUUUUCCUUUGCAUGUGUUUUUGAUUAGGUGUUUUCUGGAUCGAUACGUGUCAAGCUUGCAUGUGACUGUGAACUGUGGACCCUGUUCUAGAACUAGACUGUUUGGGAUCGAUUAAUUUUAAAAAAUAAACUAAAAUUCAUAUGGUAAGAAUUUUUAAGUAUAAAUGUUUGUAAAAUAAAAUCUAAACCUACAUUUGAAUGGCAAGCAUCUAGAAACAAGAUCUGUAUUCUGUCAUAUGACGCCAGGAAAUAUACUGCCUUUUCGUAAAUGCAUAAUCAAGCAGCAUGAUGUGCUCUGCUUUCACACGAAUGUAGGUCCACUUUGUCUUGGCUUUUACGGAAUUUCAAUUCUAUUGUUAUGGGGAUUAAUGGCUCUGCUUAAUUUUGGGGUCUGCUUUCAGAGAAAUACAAAACGAUUAGAACUCUGCUUUGUGAUACAGACAAGACGCAAUGGAUCUAUCAUCUUCAUCUCUACUCCUAUUUCAUUUAUCUUUAUCAUGAAUAUAAUCCACGAUUCUCAAACAUGAUAAACAAGGUCACAAACUAUGGUGUACCAAUCGGCUGUUUUUUUUUUAACUUAAUUAAUUUAAUUUAAAUCAUUGAGUCCAUUUAUUUUUUCAACUUAAUGAAAAUUUUCAAUCACUAAAUCAUUCAGUUACCAAGCUAAUUUUUAAAUUUUUUGUUUAAUCUAAAAAGUCUAAAUAAUAACAUUAAAAGAUUUUCUCUAAAAUAUCUCUAUCUAAUUAAUUAAUUUUUACCCUUACCUAAAUAAAUUUUAAUAAUUGAUGUUAUUACCUACCUCUAUAACUUGUGAUAAUAUAGUGCACUAGUAGACUACUAUUAUUUUUUAUUUUUUAUUUUCUUCAAAUUAAAAUUAUUUAUCUUCAUAAUUUUUCAUAAUUAUUUUUCAUAUAAAAACAUCAUAAACUAUAGUAAAAUUGAUUAAUAUAUACUAAUUUAAAAUAUUAAAAAGAGUAUAGACAUUAUGAGACAGUAUCAUUAAGCAGCUACUGGAAUAAGAUGUUAUGAGCCUAAAUUUUAUAAGGUCAAAGUUGAAUUUGGCCGAUCCUUUAACAAAAAAAACUAAACAAGAGUUUAGUAGAGAUCACAUCAAGGGAGAUGGGACUAGUGGCUAGAUCAUAAGACAAGAGUGAUGGUAACCCUACCUAUGUGAUUGGAGAUCCAUGAAAAAUGUUCAAUAAGUUACUUGUUGUUUUGGAAUGCUCUCAAUAUUAUGUAAUCUUAUUUUUAUUCAAUAAAGAUUUUCUUUAUUUAUAAGUCCUCCUUAUAAUAAGAUAAUGUUUAUCGCAGUGAGUUAGGUUAAGCAAUUGAGCUUUUCAUGAACUCCAUAACUCAAUUUUUAUGUAUGAUGGUGUGUUAAAACUGCAUGACAUACUUGAUGGAGGUUCACCUAUGUUAGUGUGGAAUUGGAUAAGUUCCUAUGAGAGUUAAACAUGCUUCUCUAGAGCGCUCAUGAAUACAAGGGCACAGGGCUACUAAAGUGCCAAACCGCAGAACAACAAAAUAUUGAGAGAGUUUAAUGUGAGCUUCUAGUCAUCUGCCUUACAAAAAAAAGAAUAUUGGUUUAUAGAAAUUAUCAGUUUCACCAAGUUCCUAUGACACAUGGUUAGUUAUUCAAUGGCCAGUUCAUAGCCCCAAAGGCACCAGUUCAUAUGCAUUAAACUCUAUGGACAAUGAUGAAGUCGAAAGAAAUUGAGUAUUUUGAAAUAUGUGGAGGAUUGUUAAAGAUUGAGUUGGUAUUUUAAAAUACCAAUAUUCCACAUUACUUAAACAAAAGAGUACAAGUUGGUUUUUAUAUAGAAAACAAAUAUAGUGUAGUAACAAGCCUAUGAAGAGGAGGCUCAUAUGCAUGAAACCAAGCGCGAGAGAGGAGUUCAUUCCAUGACUCUAUUAAUUGGUUGCUCGUACCCAAUAACUCACUCGCAAUGGGGACCCUCCUUCCCCCCAUGGGGUGUCAUGUAUGAGUGUGGGCUUGGCCAUCUAUUAUGUUUUGUCCUUUGUUUUAAUUUUAUUUAUUUUAAUUCGAAUUAGAUUGAGAAUUCAAUUCCUAAUGGAAUUAGGAUUUAAUAAACAUAAUUAUAAUUCAGAUUUAGAGAGGAAAAGGGGGUUAGGGCUUGUAUCUAUUUAAAGAGCCGAAUAUAUCACACUAUGGUCAUCCAAAAACUUACUCUCUUGCUCUCUGUUCUUUGUUGCUCUUUGUUUUCCUUUCUUUCGUCAUUGUACGUUUUGCUAUUCUGAACUAUCAAGUUGAAGUGCAACAUCACAAUCGUAAUAGUAAUUGUAUCAUGGAGAUCAAACUACUUUUGUUAGCCCUUCUUGCACCGAAAUACUGCAUCUUGAGAUCAAGCUUAUUCCAACAUUUUUGUUGUUUCCAUGUUCUUCAAUUUCUCUAAACUUGGUCUCCAUCAGUAUGCCAAGUCAUCAUUUCCAGCUUCCUCUGCUUUCAUUGCCUUCUCUCUGUUUUUAAUUAUUCCCAUCAGUGAAGCUCGUAUUUGCUUGUCAAUUUCCUUCAUUCUCUUAUUUCUUUCUGAAGGUACCAGCCAGCCUAUAAGAAAUAGGAACAAUAGAAAAUACAAGAACGUAUUGAAUGCACUAAUCAAAUCCUACUUAUCGAUUUCAACAAUAUGAUUAACAUCUUAGAUUAACCAUAUGACGACAUGGAUCGAAGUUAUAAGCCCAGGAUGGGUCAAACCUACUUCCAUAUUUUUGGAAGAAAAUCAACUCCUACAUUGCUAAUUACUCCCAGAAGCCGUCCUCAGAAUCACAUCACUAGUUAAUUUUGCAAGAGAAGGCCGUGCACCCAACUCACACGAUCCUCCUUUUGACGUCAGGUUUUCCCACUUUGUAAUUAUUUCACUACAACUUUGCUAGAACGCAGGCAACAUAAGUUGAAACGAAACAGAAAGAAAUUAAAAUGAAGACAUUUAUGUAAACAAAUGAAGAAAUCAAUUAAUAACCUAGAGCUUCUCUUGGUGGAACUGGUUGAUAAGAUUUCUAUAGUAACCCACUUGUCACCUCAUGGCUAACCAAUGCAAGUGCCAAUAAUCUGGCAAGUGGAUCUGAAUUGAUUUUUUGAAAAUCAUUGAUCUUGGUAGAUAUCUCUUUGAUUUGAUCGGGCUUCACAAUAUUCAACCUUCGCGUCGGACCGAACCACAUAAAUGAAUUAUUGCCUGCAUCAAUUUUUAAGCUCUGGUUAUUUUGCUCGUGGCAUAACUUACCACAGCUUGAGUUACACCCAUUGGCCCAUGAUAUCAAGAAAAUUAUUGGUCUCGCAAACAACAUAGCUCAAAUGUUUCAACACCAUACAUAUUUUCUUCAUUAAUUAAAAAAAAUUACGUUUUAACCCAUAAAAAUAUUCAAGAAUUAUCUUGAUGUGUAUGAUCUCUACUAACUACAUUUAUAACGAGAAGUCUAUUUGGAUUUCUUCCACUUAUAUCAGCUCUACAAUUGUGCAAACUGAAUUAGUUUUAUUAAUAAUGGCACAAUCCAGUCGAGAUAUUAUCGUCUAAACUUUCUUUCAAGUCACCAAACAGAAGCCUGCAAGAAUUGCCUUUGAAACCUUUGCUGUCUCAGGAAUUUCUCCAGCUUCUUGGGACCCUCAGCCACACCCAGUUCAGCACUCUCCAUGCCCAGUUCCCACUGUUACGAUAACAAUGGUCAGGUCUAUGGAUUUCAGCGGCAAUUCCAUUUCACACAGAGAGAUUUUUGAAGUGUUCAAAGAAAUGAGACUUGCCUACGUGGUAGAUUAGUUGAAAGUGAAUUAAAAACAUUUUUUCGUUUGCAUAUGUUCAAUGGCUUUUCUUAGUUUCGAAUUUUCCUGUACCAUUAUAUUGUCUCCAGCUAAUGGUACACGUGUCAAUAUCAAUCAUGCAUGUGGUGAUCUUUGUGGACUUGUCACUCAUUGACUGUCUUCUAUAGAACUAGAGAAUGUAAGUUCGGUUAAUUAUUUGAAAAAAAAAAAUUGUUUACCCCUAAUACAUUAAUUAUUCUCAAAAUAUCCUCAAACUAUAAUAAACAUUAAUCAAUCCACAAUUACUAUUAAGAAGGUAAAAAAAGAAAAAAGAAAUCAUCAAUCGUUCCCAUUUGAUCUUAUUUUUUGAAUGAUCAUUAGGGUAAAUUAAGGUUUACAAGAAUUUAGAGAUAACUGAAAUUAACAAAAAAUAAAUAAAAUAAAACUCAUCUAAAUAAAUUAUGCAUGGUGGGCCUAUUUGCCCUUUAAAACAUACUCAAAAUAUACUAUUAUUUAUGUAUACUCAUUUACUUAUUUUAUAAAAAGGGUGGGGCUAUUUGCACUCUUAACAUUACUAGAAUAUUCUUAUUUUAAUAAAUUGUUUUAUUACAAAAAUACUUAUUAUAUGAAUUUCCAAUAUGGAAUCUCUCUUAUAAACUAACAUAAUAAAAUUACUCCAAACACUCACUAUUCAAUAUAUGAUUAUCUUACCAUAAACCCGAAAAAUUUUAAAUCCAAUAUCUUAAACAAUAUUUAGUUAAACAAAGAGCAAAUCAAUACUUUUAAUAUAUUUUGAGCAUAUUUUUACUCUUUGAUUUUCAGAAGACAAAAAAAAAAUUGCUGUCUUCUUCCUCUUCCUCAUCCUUCUUUUAGUCUUCUUUUUCUUCGGCUAUUUCUUCUUCCUCUUUUUUUCCUUUUUUUUCUUUCUUUUUUUUUUUUUUUUGGCUAGAUAGCAAAAAAAUUUUCAAUUGUUUGGUUAAUAAAUUGGGUGCAAAAACUAAUAUUGAAUACAUUCUUUAAUAGACAAAAGCUAAUAAAGAAUAUGUUUAGAAUAUAAUUUGAUUCCUUUGUGUAUAUACUAAGUUGUUAUUAAUUCAUUUUGGAUGCUCAAUAGUUUAAUUGGUGUUUUGAGUAAAUUAGUUUAACUAGUUUAAUUAAGGUCCUUUUUUUUUUAUUUUAAAGAGUGUAGAAAGUAAAAUUUAAUUAUUUUAAAUUCAACACAUUAUUGUACAAAGUAAUAAAGUGUUCAAAGUAAUUUUUGGAGUAUAAAUAACCUAAUCUUUUGAAAAAUGGUGGGACUAUUUGAAUCCACCAUAAUACUCAUUUGACCCAUGUUUUAGAAAACAUUUUUACUACUAAAUUGUCUCUAAUGUAAAUCACUAUUAAAGACAUAAUAGUAUGUAUAUACUUCAUGCUCUCAUCUUUUAAUCAUGUCUAAAUUUGUUCAAUGUGGACAUAAGAGAAAAUUUGUUUCAUACUUUUAAAUUUUUUUAAAAAUUUUCUUCAACUCCUUUGGUCGAAAACAAAUCCAAUCGAGUUGUUGGAUACUUGGAUUUGGUCAAAACUAUCUCACCAGUAAAGCUCAUUGGAAUCCAAUAAACCAAUAAGUUCUAGUCAAGCUAUUCUAGAUUCAAGCAAUAAAAUUUAGGAAAAUUAUCAGUCGUAUACUCUUAAAUGACAUCCGUAUCAAACGUGUGUGAACACUUUUGAAAUGUAUCACUCGUUUACCCUAAGUUGACAAAACACUUCUGCCGUCCGCCAAUCCGUUAACUUCCGUUUGCAAGCGCGAACAUCAUAAGGGCAAUUUAGUCUUUUAAGAUUGACGAAACUUUGAUUUAAAAAAAGGACAUGUCAUCCCAUUUACCUAGUACAAAAUGACAUGUCAUAUGAUAUAUAUUGAUAAAAAUAACAUGUCAUCCCAUUUAUCGGAUAAUUGUAAAUAAUUGCUAAAAAAAACUACUUUACAACCGAAUAUACGCCUUUAAAAUUUAACCUAAUUUUGAAGAUCUACUCCUCCAAGCUCCAACUGGAAAGUUUUAUGGUAUAAUAUGUAUAAUUGUGAAUAAUAUGUUGUUAAUAAUUUUUUAUGGUAUAAUAUGGAUUUUUUUUAUGAAUAAUUGUUAAUAAUAUGUACCAUUAAUAAUUCAUUUUUUUUAAUCAAAAAAAUGUAUUGUUAAUAACAAAAUAAAAAAAAUUGUGUAUUAAAAAUUUACGUUAAUUUUUGGGGUAAAUUUAUCUUUUUACCUUAUAUUUUGAGUUUCAAGGGCAAAAUAGCCAAUUUGUCACAAUUCUGUUAACUUUCUAAUGGAAGUUAACGGAUUGGUGGAUGGCAGAAGUGUUUUGUCAACUUAGGAUAUACGAGUAAUACACUUGAAAAGUGUUCUCAACUUAGGGUAUACGAGUAAUACACUUGAAAAGUGUUCUCAACUUAGGGUAUACGAGUAAUACACUUGAAAAGUGUUCACACACGUUUGAUACGGGUGUCAUUUAAGGGUAUAUGGCUGAUAAUUUCCCUAAAAUUUAUUUCAUUAAAUUUGCACUAUAUAAGAAAGGGAAGAGUUAUGCCAUUGACAAAUAUUGAGCGCUUGAAUUAGUUGUGUAAUCAAUUGAUUAUUCAUUACAACUAUCAUCUUAUUGUCAUUUAAUUUUUUCAUGAUAUUAUAUAUAUUUUAUAGCAGUUUAAUGACAAGCACGGACAAAAAAUAAAUUCCACUUGAGAAGUUGAAGGAUACGACCUUUGGUUAUGAAUGCGUCAAGGGUUGGAGAGCUGGAAGAAGAAGAAGAGAAGAAAAAUGUUGCAGAAAAUCAUGAAUUAAUUUCAAGCAUAUGUUGGUUAUUAACAUGAGUUUAUAAAGUAUAAUAUAAAAUUUUUAACAAUAGAAUUAAUAAGUAGAUGAGUUUACAAAGUAAUUUGGUGGGUUCAAAUAUACUCACUCUUUAAAAUAAUUAGUUUUUACUCUGCACACUCUUUUUUUUUUUUUAUGAGAAAGUAAAGCUUUCAAUUGAUUAAGAAGAAGAGAACAACAUCAACACCUGGACAGGGAAAUCACCUAUCCAGGUGACAGCUUCCUCAAACUCAAGAGCUACAUUAGCUAAGUUAUGGGCAAUUACAUUACACUUUCUUGGGACAAAACGAAUAGCUGCCGAGGCUUGGUUUUUCAACUCUGCUUGUAUUUCUUCAAUGUUCCAACAAAUUUUAGCUCAACUUUCCUUCUUGUUUAAAGUGAGCUCCACAACUUCCUUCAAGUCUGAUUCAACAAUGAAUUGGGCACAAUUUGUUUUCUGACCUACUUGAAUACCGAGCAGCACUGCUUCUGCCUCCAUGUUUGCCACAUUUCCUUUUAAAGCUACUCUCUUAACAGCUGCAGCCACGAUCUCAUAAAAUACUAAAAAAGCUACUCUCUUAAUUCUGCACACUCUUUAAAAUACUAAAAAAGUCCUCAAUAAAACCUUUAAGUAAAUCAAUUAAGAAUUUCAAGUUAAAAUAAAUCUAUACAUGUAAUCACAAUUUAUUAAAAAUGGUAGUAAAACUUUUAUAUUUGAAGUCAAGUACUUAAUUACCAAACUUAAAUAAAUUAAACAAUUAAAAUUUAUUCAUCUUUUUAAAUUUUAAACUAUUAUUAGUCAAAAGUUUCAAAAAUAAAUUAAACUCAACUUAACAUAAAGCUAUUUGGGUGUCAUUGUUUCUUUGUCAUACACUCUACCUUUUUUUUUAAGAACCUACUGUUGAUAGUUUUUCUAUCAAAAACUCCUCAAAAUAUUUAAAUUUUAUCUUCUAACUUGUCCUCUUGGUUAAUGUAACUAAUAACUAAAAUCUCAAAAUUCACAUAAAAGUUUAUGAAAUGUUGAUAGAUAGUUGUUACUAUAUAUCUUUUUUUGUAAGUAUUGGCAUUUUUUCAAUUAAAUUAUUUUUAUAAAUAAAUUAAAACAGUAAUAAUAUUUUAGUCCCCAAAUCUUUUCAAUCUAUUCAAUAAAUAUAUAAUUUAAUUAUUUCAUGAAAUAAGUCACUAAUUCCAACUGGGAAGAAAAUAUAAUUGAAUUAGGAACAUGUUUGAAAAUAAAAUAAAAACUCUAUUAUUUUAUAAAACUGAUUUAAAAAAAACAUAAGGGUAGUUAAAUUAGGGACAUAUAUAAAAAAAAUAAAACUAUAUUAUUAUCUAAAAUUAAUAAAAAAAAUAAGGGGUAUAAAUAACUUUCCUGGACUAAUCCGGGCUACACCCCCGCUUAGGUCCGCUUGCGCACUCAUUACUCCAAAUACAACGUUUAAAAUUUAAAAUCAAAUUUUUACUAUGUAAAAGGGAUAUUAUCAUUUUUCCACCAAAGGUAUUCUGACACAUCAUGUCAGUACCAUGGUUUGAUAAAACUAUCAUUUUACCACCAAACGUUUAAACUGUUAGCAUUUUCCCACCAUUUCGUUAAAACUCAGUUAAUAUUUAACGAAAAAUUAUUAAAAGGUCAAUUUUACCCCUAGAGCGUAAAAGACGAUUUUGCCCUUUAAGAAUGAACAACAAUAAGUGAUGAUUAAAUUACAAAAAUAACCCCAAAAGUAGCUGUUACAUUCAAAUAACGGCUACUUUUAUGCUUAUAAGAGCUGCUGCUGGUUGCCAUUUCAACCCGCAACCAGCAACCCCAAAUCAAAGGCCAGCAAGUAGGGGUGGGCAAAAUCGGGUUCGGAUCAACCCGAUCAGAUUUCGGGUUGAUCGGGUUGGAGAGAAACUCAUCCGAACUCAACCCGAAUUUUAGAUCAGAUCGGAUCGGAUCGGGUUAUAUUCGGGUCGGAUCUAAAAUUCGGAUCAAUUUCGGGUCAAUUCGGGUUAAGGACAAAAAAAGUCAUUUGUGUUAAUUUUGGGUUGUUUAAUAAUUAUUUAAUAAUUACAAGAUCACUUUUAUGCAAUUAGUUCAUUUUAGUCCAUUUCCACUUUCCAAUGACUGUCAUAAAAAAAAUAUAAACUGAAAUAGAAUUGAAAAAGUUGUGAGCUUGGAGGACUUGGUGUCAUGAAUCUCAGUCUCGGUCUCGUUGGAAGAACAACCAUGGAUCACUUCGCGCGGGUCAAGCAGCAGCCGAUGGAUCAAGCGGCAACGGGUUUCGUCGAUGGCUCAUGGCUUCACAGGUUUUGUCGGUGGCUACCGGAAAAGCAGAUCCAAUCGAAGUGAAGUGCAGCAACCGUCGAUGCAGCAGCAAGCAGAUCCUGUCGUCAGUGCAGCAGAUCUGGUCGAGUGGUGUGCUGCAUAUGGCCGUUGCUGUGCUAACCGUCUGUAGUUUUGUUGUUGCGAGAAAGAAGAGAAAGAAGACAGUGAAGAGAAAAAAGAGAGUUGUUUGUGUGAGUUGUGAGAAAGAAGAGAAAGAAGAUAGUGAAGAGAAAGAACACGGAGAGUGAGAAAGAAGAGAAAGAAGAGAGUGAAGAGAAAGAACACAGAGAGUGUUGGUGUGAGUCUGUGAGCCAUAGUGUUCGUAUAUGUUCUGUUUAGCCAUUUAGGUUGUUUGUGUGUGGCGUGUGUGUUUAGAUUUAGGUUUUUUUUUUUAAAGCAACCCGAUCGGGUUUUCGGAUCGGAUCGGAUUUGACCUGAUCCGAUCACAACCCGAUCGGAUUUCCUUUAUAACCCGAUCCGAUCCGAUCCGAACCCGAAAUUUUUCGGGUCGGGUCGGGUAUUUUGCCCACCCCUACCAGCAACCCCAUUUGAGCACCAACAACCCAGCUGAAAAAGAAAGAAAAUGGCAACCCAGCACAACUACAAGCCACAGUAAACAUUUCAAUACCACUGCACCAGCAAGCCCAAGCCAUUUUUAAACACCAGUAAGCUCAUUUUAUUACUAGCAAUCAUGCCAGGUUUGUACAUGCAGGUUUAAAAAGUGUAAUUUUUGGCAAUGGGCAGCAAAAAAAGAUAUGGAAAUGCGUAACAUUACAUCCAAUCAUGGCAUGAACCUAAAUGAAGAUGUGAUGAAGAUAAGUGAACUACUACGAUGCAUUGAAGCGAAACUGAAAUUGGUCGUAGUUUUUAUUUGUGGCAUUGUGAUAGGCUUAUUUAUGAGGAAGUAAUGUAAUAAACAUGAAAAAAUAUUGUAGCAAUCAAUCAUUGUAGCUGAAGAUGUAAUGAAGCAUUAUAGUUUAAGAUGUAAUGCAACUGGAAAGUAAUCAAAACAGUUUGUGGAUUCCAAAAACAUAACAGCAACUUAAUGCACUAAUAUAAAGUUUGUGCAUCCAAAAUACAUAACAACAACUUAAUGCAUUAAUAUAAAGUUUGUGCAUCUAAAAUACAUAACAGUAACUUAAUGCACUAAUAUAAAGUUUUGUGCAUCUAAAAUACAUAACAGCACCUUAAUGGUUAUUUCAUACAGCAUCUAAUAUCUGUGAAGCUUGUGAGCCUUGAGUUGGAUUCGGGGAAACAUUAUCAGCUUCAUAUUGGCCAGGACAAAAAAAUUAUUACCUCAUUAUCUAAGACCAACAGUAGCUAUUUGCAGACAUCAAACAUUAAUUUGAAACAAUAACUUACCAUUGUUACGUCUUCUUACUCCAUCGCCUCUUGCUCUUGCUCUGUUACUCCUUUGGCCCCUUCGGCCUCUAUUCCUUCCUCUUCCUCUAUUACCAGUACCUCAUCUUCCUCUAUGAGCAAUAAAGCUCUCUUGUGAACCACCUACAGCCUAUUUAAAUUGAAAUAUAUAAAUAAUCAAAUCAUCAAUAUUUAUAACAAACUAAAAAUUACUCAAUGAAUAACAAUAAACAAAUUACCACUUUCUUUGUCCUCUUUGAAGUACUUGCUGCAUUAGAACUUUCUCCCGGCCCACUAACUCCCUAUUUAAAAUUACAUAGAUAACAAACAAUAAAAAAUUAAUUUCAAUACACAUAAAAACAAUUAAAACAUUAGGUUAAGUGGCUGUUACCUGCUGAGCUCUUAAUUAUCUUGCUAUCGAUGGCCUUAAUGCACAUUUCCUGACAUUGUGGUUCAUCCCACCACAAAAUGAGCAGCAGAUAUAAAAUGAUUUUUUUUUUUUUAUUGGCUCAGUGGCUGCCCUUUUCCUUGACAUUUUUGGUCUACCAAUCUUCUUGGUAAUCUCAGGUGGAAAGAGCUUGGGCCUAUCACAAGGGUCCCAUGUAACUUUGUUAGGAAUUGGCUUGAACAUCACUGCAUAUGUGUUCAAGUACGCCUCUUUGCCGAAGUAUUUUGGUAGAUACUCUGUUGCUGUGUGUCUAGCAUGACUAAUUGCAGCCAUAACAUGAGUACAGGGGAUUCCAGCUAGGUCCCAAUAACCACAAUCACAAGACCUGCUCAUGAGAUCGACAAUGAACCUCCUUGUUGGAUAAUAACCCUUGUGUUUAACCUAACAAAAAUUACAUAAUGAUUAAAUAAUAAUUAUAAGGUUGAGGAAAAAAAAUUGAUUAACCUAACAAACAUUCAGGUUCAGGAAAAAAUUAAUUAUAAGGAACAUGAGUUAGAAUUAUACUUGAAAGUGAAGAUCCCCAGAAGCCAUUACAUUCAUCUUGCUUCCACAUUCAUAUGCAACAUCCAAUUCUUUUUUCACUCUAGGUGGAAUGUUGGUCUAAGAUUGUGCUUCUUUUUUCCUUUUUGUGAAGAGUGUCAUGAACAUGCAUCUAAUUUCUUCAAGCAUGUUCAAGCAAGGCUUCUCUCUGUGGGGUAAUAUCCAACUAUUAAAACACUCUGAAGUGUUGUUAGUUGUACGAUCUACCUUGCAAUUCUUGUCAUACUCAUGUCUUGACCAAGUAAACCCAGCAAGCUCAGUCUCCAGCCACUGCCAUGCCUCUAACUUCUCUUUUUUGAGGUUUUCCAUUGCAAUAGCGUAAUCAUACUUGUUAGUGCUACUGACAGCCCUCCAAAACAGAUUUCUCAAACUAACACCAGGAUGUUCUUUGUAGAAGUUAGUAUAUAUAUGCCUAGCACAUGGUCUAUGAUAUGCAGUAGGCCAAGUUAUCUCAAUGGCCCCCAACAAACCCUUUUGCCUAUCUUAGCAAAAUGUAAUAUGCUCUAAGCCAUUAUCAAAAUACGAAUGCAGAAUUUCUAAAAACCACGACCAGGUUUCAGUAUUCUCUAUCUCACACACUGCUAAUGCUAAUGGGACCAUUCCAUUAUUAGCAUCCAUACCUGUUGAGUGUUAGAAAAUGCAUAUUUAUAAAGGAGAAAACCGUCAUUUUACAUUUCAAGUCUUAUUAACAACCCUUACUUUUAUGUAUUUAACCUUCUUGUGAUUUAAUUACAUGUCUUUUAUUUUAAUUAAGUAUUUUAUGUAUUUUAGGGGCAUUAUAGUCAUUUCACAAUAAAGGAGAGAUCAGAUGGCAAAACGGACAUCACUUUUGAACUCAGGACGGUCGAAAACCUUAGGAGGAGCAUAAAAGGAAAAAUGACACUAUUCACAUGUACGGUACUAUUCACGUAUACGGUACUGUCUACGUUACUGUUCACGAAACUGUUCACAUAGACGGAUCGAUGACGUGGCAUUGACCGAUGAUGUGGCAUUGACUGAUGAGGUGUCACGAUCCUGUUGGACUAAACUUCUUAUGUACUGUUGAUGGUGACGUGGCAGCAUAUCAGUGGAUGAAAAAUCUCGCGUACGGUGCAUGCAUCACACAGGAUUAUUUUCAACCAAACCGCGUUACUGUUCAUCCGGGUCAAACCGUGUUACUGUUCAUCCGCGUGGUCAAACCGUGGACUGUUGACUGAUGACGUGGCGCAAUCCUGAGCGUCCAAACUAUUUUUAAUCCGAUGGCCAUGAUUUACUCCAUGUAUCUAUAAAAAGGGGGCCUCCCCCCCCUAAUUUGAUAUCUCUGAAUCCAUUUUUGGGAUCCAUUUUCUGUAAUUCCCUCUCCAUCUUGUAUUUUCUUUGUAUUUUAAUAAAUUCCCAUUUUGCCCCUAGUUCAAUUAUGAGUGGCUAAUUUUCUUUCAAGCUUGGGUUGAAGGUGAAGUCUCAACAUGUGUCAUGGGCUUUAUUUGGUAAAUUUAUUUUCUUUUCCCCUCUAGUUUUUGUGGAUGAUUUGACUUAUCGUCGACAAAUAAUACUGAUCUUGUCUAGAUACCGCCUUGGUUACACCGGCUCUCUAGUAUAAGGUUAUUAUUAUUUGGCACGAUAAGCCCUUAGCACCAUAUUGAUUAGAGCGUGGUUCAUGAGGUGUGGAUCCCCCCCUCAUGAUUUAAUUGGCAUUAAUACGGAUUAUUUAGCCCAUGAUGCAUGUUGAUACGGAUCCAGAUACCCAAGUACGUCAUUUCAAUAGAUUUCGCUUCAACUUAUUCUCGCCAUUGCAAUUCCAAUUUUAGAAUUUAUUAUCGCAAUUUCAAUUCCAAUUUUAGGAUAAUUUAAAUCACUUCCACCACAAUUCCAACCACCCAUUUUGCAAAAUUAAUUCUAUACACAAUUAAAAUCCUCCUCCUCGUGGGAUCGACACUCGUCACCAUUGAUCUACACUACAAUAGAUUCAUGCGCUUGCGAGUACAUUAAAAUUUGCACAACAAGUUUUUGGCGCCGUUGCCCGGGGAGGUAAGUAAUUUUAAUUCAUAGAAUUAAUUUUUGUGAAUAAUUUCUUUUAAAUUGUUUUCUUGUAUUUUUUUUAUUAAAAAAAAAAAGGUGAAUCUGCAUUUAAAGGUUAGUAUUUCUUUUCUUUUUCUCUUCUUUAAAAUUCUGUAAUUUAAUUUUCAAUUUAUUUUUUUCUUUGUAAUUUUUAUUUAUUUUAUUAAUUUAAUUUUUAGUUAAUUUAUUUCACGUAUUUGUUUUUGUGUAUUUUUAUAAAAAGGUUGUAAUAGCGCAAUAAGGUUAGUAUCGUAAUUUCUCCCUCUUCUUUAUUUUUAUUUGUUUUGUUCCCAUCUUUAUUUUUAUUUUAUUUGUUUUGCAUGCAUGGUCGUAGGUCAUUAUUACCUAAUCUUGAACCUAUAGACCUUGAAUUAGAAAAAACACUUCGCACACAAAAGCACAUUAAAAAUAAAUUUGGAAUGGAUUUACAAGCACCACAGGAGAGGCCAUUUAAGGACUAUUUUAGUCCCUUAGCUAAUUUGAGCACAUCAUGCAUAAGAUACCCAAAUGUAGCUGCUAGGAGUUUUGAAUUAAAACCUAGUGUGCUAAAUUGUCUCCCCACAUUCUAUGGCUUAGAAAAUGAGGACCCAUAUAAUCAUCUGAAUGAUUUUCAUACCAUUUGUCAAACUUUUAAAUAUGAAAAUUUUUCAGACGAUGAUGUUAAACUCAGAUUAUUCCCAUUUUCUUUAAAGGAUAGAGCUCGUUCAUGGCUUAAUACAUUGCCUGCUAAUAGCAUUGCAUCAUGGGAACAAAUGGUUACAAAAUUUCUAAAUAAAUAUUUCUCAGUGCAUAAAACUAAUUCUAUUCGCAGGGAAAUUUCAGAGUUUACACAAAGAGAGGACGAGCAGUUUUUCGAAACUUGGGAGCGAUUCAAUGGGCUACUCUUGAAGUGUCCACAUCAUGGGUACGAAAAAUGGCAUCAAUGCCAAUACUUUUUGGAGGGAUUAUUGCCGAAUGUGCAAGAAUGGCUAAUGGCAACAAGUAGAGGAGAGCUAAUGUCAAAAAGCGCAACAGAGAUUUGGGAAUUCUUCCAGCGACAAGCGGAUAAUUCCCAACAACGGAGUCGAUCAUUCAGGAAUACUAGAAAAAUUAAAGGAGUAAAUGAGGUUCACAUUGGCGAGUCAACUUCGGAAAUCAAAGAAGUCAAGGAGAUGGUUGAAGGUCUUGCUCGACAAAUAGCAUCGUUAUCGACUGCUAAAUCAACAGAAUCACAUGACCAUGACUCAUAUUCAGAUCAAGCCAAUGCCAUAGGUGUAAUGAGAAAACCAUCGAAUUACAACCCAUACUCCAACACAUAUAAUCCUGGAUGGAGAGAUCACCCCAAUUUUUCAUGGUCUCAAGGAUUCCAACAGAAUGGACCAACAGCUCCAGCUCCACUACUGCAACCAAUUCCUCAAAAUCCUCAAGCCUCUCAGCCACCAUUCAGACCAUACAAUCAGAACCAGAACUACUCUCAACCCAGACCAUGGGAGGAUGCAUUCCAGAAUUUCAAGAAUGUUACUCAUUCUACCAUUGAGCAACAGAACCGCACCAUUGAUGGACUACGAAAUGAAUUGAGAGCGGGCUUUAACUCACAAGCCCAAUCAGUUUCAAGCCUCGAGAAGAUGGUGGGACAACUCGCUUCUUCAGUUCAGACAUUGGCAAUGACUAUUGAGAAAGGCAAGUUUCCAAGUCAACCAGUGCCUAAUCCUAAAGGAGUACAUGAAGCAAGUACCAGUUCACCACAGCAGCAUGGGGAGGUCAAAGCAGUCAUGACCUUGCGAAAAGGAAAAGAAGUCGACAACAAAGUGGAGAUGCCGGUGACCAAAGAAAAUCAAAUUGUACCUGUGAAUGUUGAAGACUCACCACCGGAGGAAAAAGAAGAAACCAACCCACGAGAAUAUGUUCCUAAAGCUCCAUUUCCUCAGAGGUUAGCGAAAGGAAAGAAGGGAAAAUCCACAGGUGAGAUUCUCGAAAUCUUCAAACAGGUAAGUGUUAACAUCCCUUUACUUGAUGCUAUUAAACAAGUUCCAUCUUAUGCCAAGUUUCUUAAAGACCUUUGUACUAAAAAGAGAAACAUGCAUGUUCAAAAGAAGGCAUUUUUAACAGAAAACGUUAGUUCUAUACUCCAACAUAAAAUUCCUUUAAAAUGCAAAGACCCAGGCUCCCCCACUAUCUCAUGUAGUAUAGGGAACCACACAAUUGAGAAUGCUUUGUUGGAUUUAGGAGCUAGUGUAAAUUUGUUGCCUUAUUCAGUAUUUGUGAAACUUGGACUGGGAGAAUUACACCCAACUCCAGUGGUGUUACAGCUUGCAGAUCGGUCCACGAAAAUACCUCGUGGUAUUGUGGAGGACGUGCUUAUCCAGGUAGACAAGUUUUAUUUUCCUGUUGAUUUCAUUGUAAUUGACACUCAACCAAUACAGGACUCAAGGAAGCACAUCCCCAUUAUUCUAGGCCUACCUUUCUUGGCAACUGCGGAUGCUCACAUUCAAUGCAGGACUGGAAAUAUGCAGUUGUCCUUUGGCAACAUGACUAUGGAGCUAAACAUUUUCAACAUUGCCAAACAACCUCAUAGUCCAGAUGAUGGAAUUGUUGAUGUGGAUUUAAUAGAAACAAUAGUCGAUAAUACUUUUAUUUCAAACCUUAGUGAUGACCCUUUACAGACAUGCUUAACUCACUUUGGUUUGAAUUUUGAUAUUGACAGAUCGGUCGAUGAGGUCAACACUCUACUUGACUCAGCACCAUCCAUGGACACUAAUAAAUGGAAGUCAAGAGUUGAACAACUAGCACCAUCAGAGAAGAAAAUCAUCCCAUCAUCAGAAUCACCACCGAAACUCGAGCUCAAACCAUUACCCAACACAUUGGAAUAUGCGUUUUUGGGAGAAGAAAGCACUCUACCGGUAAUCAUCUCAUCAUCCCUAAACGACGAACAAAAAGGUAAGUUAUUGGAUGUUUUAAAAGAGCACAAAGGAGCAUUAGGAUGGACCAUAGCAGAUAUUAAAGGUAUAAACCCAGUAGACUGCAUGCAUUACAUUCACCUUGAUGAAAAUGCUAAAACUACUAGGGAAAUGCAACGUCGGUUAAAUCCUAAUAUGAAAGAAGUUGUUAGAACAGAAGUCCUUAAGCUAUUAGAUGCAGGUAUCAUUUACCCAAUUUCUGAUAGUUCAUGGGUCAGUCCUGUACAAGUUGUCCCCAAAAAGUCAGGAGUCACAGUAGUUACCAAUGCUGAUAAUGAAUUGAUACCAACUAGAGUAACUACAGGAUGGCGUGUAUGCAUUGAUUAUAGAAAAUUGAAUUAUGUCACACGUAAAGACCAUUUUCCUUUACCAUUUAUUGAUCAAAUGCUUGAUAGAUUAGCAGGCCAUGAAUUUUAUUGCUUUCUGGAUGGUUAUUCAGGAUAUAAUCAGAUUCCCAUAGCACCAAAAGAUCAGGAGAAAACUACUUUCACUUGCCCUUUUGGCACUUUUGCAUAUAGGAGAAUGCCAUUUGGAUUAUGUAAUGCACCUGCUACAUUCCAACGAUGCAUGUUGAGCAUUUUUUCUGAUAUGGUUGAACGAUUCCUUGAAGUCUUUAUGGAUGAUUUUUCUGUCUUUGGUGACUCGUUUGAUCAAUGUUUACAUCAUCUAACGCUAGUUCUGCAGAGAUGUAUCGAGAAGAACUUAGUCUUAAAAUGGGAGAAGUGUCAUUUUAUGGUAAAACAAGGUAUUGUUCUCAGUCACAUCAUUUCAAGCAAAGGUAUUGAGGUUGACAAAGCCAAGGUGGAUCUCAUUUCUAAUCUUCCUCCACCUAAAACAGUCAGAGAAGUAAGAUCUUUCCUUGGGCAUGCUGGUUUCUAUAGACGUUUCAUUAAAGAUUUUAGCAAAGUUUCUAGACCCUUAUGCAAUUUACUUGCUAAGGAUGUACCUUUUAUCUUUAAUGAUUCAUGUCUUAUGGCUUUUGAAAAAUUAAAGCGAUUGUUGACAUCAUCACCCAUCAUUCAGGCCCCAAACUGGAGUUUACCAUUUAAGCUCAUGUGUGAUGCAUCUGAUUAUGCAGUAGGAGCAGUAUUAGGACAAAGAGUUGAUCGAAUUCCCCAUGUUAUUUACUAUGCUAGUAUGACAUUGAAUAAUGCACAGUUGAACUAUUCAACUACUGAAAAAGAAAUGCUAGCAGUAGUGUUUGCAUUAGAGAAAUUUCGAUCUUAUCUCAUUGGUUGUAAAAUAAUUAUAUUCACAGAUCAUGCUGCUCUUAAAUAUCUUCUCAUAAAGAAAGAUGCAAAAGCUAGACUAAUUCGUUGGGUGUUACUUUUGCAGGAAUUCGACUUGGAAUUCAAGGAUAAGAAAGGCACAGAGAAUGUUGUAGCGGACCACCUCUCUCGUCUCCAUUUUGACACAAUUACAGAAUCAUUACCAUUGAAUUAGUCAUUUCCAGAUGAACAAUUAAUGAAUGUGGAAGUAUUACCUUGGUAUGCUGAUAUAGUUAAUUAUCUUGUUACAGGUAAACUUCCAGAGCAUUGGACCAAGCAAGACAAGGCUAAAUUCUUUGCGGAAAUAAAGAAUUUCUUUUGGGAUGACCCGUAUUUGUUCAAGUAUUGUGCAGACCAAAUUGUUAGACGAUGUGUCCCUGAAAAUGAAAUUCAGAAUAUUCUUUCAUUCUGCCAUGCACAAGCUUGUGGAGGCCAUUUCAGUGCUAAGAAAACAGCGACUAAAGUUUUACAAUGUGGUUUCUAUUGGCCAACUAUAUUUCGAGAUGCUUACACUUUCUGUUCUUCAUGUGAUAGGUGUCAACGAAUGGGGAGCAUUACACGAAGGAACAUGAUGCCACUAAAUCCAAUUUUAGUGGUUGAGAUUUUUGACGUAUGGGGUAUCGACUUCAUGGGACCCUUUCCUCCGUCUUUUGGUCAUCAAUACAUAUUGGUUGCUGUUGACUACGUAUCGAAAUGGGUGGAAGCAAUUCCAUGCAGAACCAAUGAUCACAAAGUGGUGAUAGGAUUUUUGAAAAGCAACAUUGUUUCACGCUUUGGAUUCCCUCGAGCGAUAAUCAGUGAUGGUGGUGCCCACUUUUGUAACAAAGCAUUCAAAGCUCUUUUGACAAAGUAUUCAAUCACCCACAAAGUGGCGACUCCGUAUCAUCCGCAAACCAGUGGCCAAGUUGAGAUCUCCAAUCGAGAAAUAAAGCACAUAUUAGAAAAGACGGUGAGGCCAGACAGGAAAGAUUGGUCAUUACGACUUGAUGAUGCAUUAUGGGCAUAUAGAACGGCUUUCAAGACCCCGAUUGGGAUGUCACCCUACAGGCUAGUGUAUGGAAAAGCUUGCCACCUACCUGUGGAACUCGAGCAUCGUGCAUAUUGGGCCAUCAAGAAAUUCAACUUUGACAUGCAGCAAGUCAGCUCAGAAAGAAGAUUACAGCUGGCAGAACUUGAAGAAAUUCGCAAUGAUGCAUACGAAAAUGCCAAGAUUUACAAGCAACGAAUGAAAGUCUUCCAUGAUAAGCAAAUUAUGAGAAAAUCGUUCACUCCAGGUCAGAAAGUGUUUUUAUUCAAUUCUCGCUUGCACCUAUUCCCAGGUAAGUUACGCUCUCGAUGGUCUGGUCCCUUUAUUGUUCAUACUGUUUUUCCACAUGGGGCAAUUGAAAUUAAAGACCCAAAGAACGGUGUCACGUUUAAAGUUAAUGGUCAAAGAUUAAAGCCAUAUCUAGAGUACCAACCACAUGAAGAAGACACCGAAAUAAAUUUGAGUGACCCACCAGAUUUGAAUUAAUUUUUUUUCUCUUUUUAUUGAUUUGAUUUUUCUUUCUUUCUUUUUAUUAUUCUUUUGCUAAUUGAAAUUGUUUUUGCAUAAGUGUGUUUAUUUUACCAUUAAGUUUUCUCUUAUCAUUUUUAAUCAUGAGUCUCCUACUUAGACCGUUCCUCCUGAACAUUCUUAAACCACUUCAACGUGUCAAAACUCAUCUCAAAAGGCAGAUUCUAUUUUGUAAAACACAACGCAUUUGGGCUCUACAACCACCAGAGUUAGUAGCCUAUGUUGAGGGUUUAGAACGCCAACUCAGAGAUAUUGAGAGAAGUGUUUACGACAUCCAGUUGGAGCUUGAGGUAAAUUCAAUAAGAGGACGAUUUUAAUUUUCUUUGUGUGUUUUGAUUUGUUUUUCUGUUUGUGUGCUUUAGUUUGUUACCCCGGUGAAGUGGCGGAUAACGGUACUCCGUGACAAUCAAGUCGGUUAACUUCAGUUUCCCAUAAUAACUGAUAUUCUGAGGCGAAGGUAUGGAUACAAACGAGAUUUUAGCAAAGCUUCACAAGCGAUUCCCUUCACUUCCUCAGAAUGCCCUCCUUACGAUCUAUAAAGCCCGGUCUGAACGCAUGCGAUUGCUCAUGAGGAAUAACAUACCUGCAGACAUCCGUUGGUUAAUCGAGGCUAAAGUACGAUCGGCAGGUGAGUUACCUCCAAAAUUUAUUGCAUUCAUGCCUGGUUGUGGUAAAGGAAAUUAUGCAAGAAAACGACGAGCUCGAAGAAUUUCUGUUGCUUGUCAUAAGUGUGCCAGAAUGAGUUGCGAUAAAAACCCAUGUUCUUUAGGAAUGGUGUCUGAUAACAGGGAAGAUAAGAUUCAAUUCAUUAGGGAUGGCUUGAAUAAGGAGUCAUUGGAUGAUAUCCUUUUGUCUCUUGAAACGCAUCCUAGUGGAUAUGUGCAAGGAGCGAUUCUCCAGUUAUGGCCAUUAUUCCAGAAAGAGCAUGCACGAUAUAGUCUCGGGAAUCUGACUAUAAACGACCCUGUUUGCCAGUUUAUAAGAAAACUGGAUAGGAAGCCUAUCCUCGACCCAUAGAGGGCGUUCAAGCCGUUUCUGGACGUAAAACCAGAGGAAGAUGUGAGCCACAGUCGCAACUACCUGUAAAUAUCCUUUUACUUUACUGUUGUUUUAUUUUACUGUUGUUUUAUCGUUUGUAUUAUUAUCUUUAAUAAUUUUAUUACUGUUUGCUUUUUCCUUUUUACUGUUUCCUUUUUGACUCGCGAGCCACGUGCUUUACGCGUUAUUUGACACUGACAUGUUACCUCAUUCACAGCUGUGAUCCACUGUCACCAAGAUUCUUAAAUGUGAUUUAUCUUUUGUCAAGCACUCACAAAUUAUUUUUGAGAAGUAUCACAAUGGCAGCUACUCCCAAUAGACAAUUCAAGAACAUUUGUGUGCUUUCUGGAUUUACCUAUGGCAAACAUAAAGAGUUCGUGGAGGCAGCCAUAGAUCUUGGUCGAAGCAUAGCAGCGAGAAAAUUACAUUUGGUGUAUGGAGGAGGUAACCGAGGGUUAUCAAAAAUGGUCUCAGAAGCAGCUUUUAUCAGAGGAAGUCAAGUGUUAGGCAUCAUCCCAAGAGUCCUAAAACCAUUGGGCAGUUCAUCUAACUCAUCAACUGGAGAAGAGUUAGUCGUCUCAGGUAUGCAAGAAAGAAUAACUGAAAUGCUUAAUCAUGUUGAUGCUUUUAUUUUCCUUCUAGGAGAUCUUGCAACACUAGAGGCACUUAUGACACUAGCAUCUUGGGCCCAUCUGCACAUCCACCAGAAACCCAUCGGUUUGUUAAAUGUCAAUAACUUUUAUGAUGGCUUUAUCGCAUUUCUUAACCAUGCAAUAAAAAACUAUUUCAUUCCUUCUAAUGUGAAAAAACUCUUUAUUUGUGCUCACACUGCUAAUGAGCUACUUGAUAUGUUACAAGCUUAUAAACCGGAGCCAGACCCCUGGACCUUUGUGUUGGAGCGACCAAAUAAUGAUGGUAACAGUAGCCGCAGUAAGAAGUACAAAUUAGAUUUAACUCUCCGCCUGUAAAUAUUUUCUUCUGUGUUGCACCACCCAGGUGAUGUCUUCUAAACUCUACUUCUUUCCUUUAAAACAUUGAGGACAAUGUUUCGUUCUGGUUGGGGGGAGGGAAUAGUCGACAAUUGUGGAAUCUUGGUUAAGUUUUUACUAAUUUUUUGUUGUAGAAACUAACUGUUGCUAACGUUUUGUGUUGAAGAUGGCUGAAUAUGGAGUGUAGUUACUCUAGAAACGCAUCUUCAUCGUUUUAAAAAAAAAAAAAAAAACUCGUUUGCUUCCUCUUUCUCCUUUAUAAAUAUGUAGUUUCAAAUUUUUGAGUCGAAGAUGGCUGAAUAUGGAGUGUAGUGCCUCUAGAAACGCAUCUUCUUAGUUAAAAAAAAAAAAAUCUUUUUCUAAUUAAUUUUUCUACAUCAUUUUCACAUUUCUGCAUGCAUAUUUUCCUUUCAUGUUUAGAAUAGGUUGGGGGGUAGAAUGUUGUUUAAAAAAAAAAAAAAUUUGUGUUAUUUGUUUUAACAUUGGAUGACAUGAUUAAUUUCAAAUUUUAGUAUUUGUAUUAUCUUUGGUCUUAAGUGAUGUUACGCUAUGUUUGCUACUUUACAUGUUGAUGUCGGAGACAAAUAUGAGUUGCUUGAAGGAAUGAACAUGUCAUAAAUAAGUGCCAAGUGAGUUGUUGAGCCUAUCAUUUUCUUGGAGAGUAACCCUUUUGCCCAUUCUCUAUACAGCUUAGCAGUUUAUUAUUUUAUACACGAUCUCUAGAUUUCUUUUGAGUUAACCCUUUAAAAAAAAUGGUAAAAAUAAAAAAAAUAAAAAAUGUGUGUUGCUAUAUUGGGAUGCCCAUUUAACUAGUAGAUAUGGAUAAUUAUUUAGAGCCCUAAAAAACGAUGGAAAGGCCAUCUUUGAUCCGUUUGAGCCUUUCUAGCCAUCCCUGUUAUUAAAUAUCCAUAGUUACCCCUUUUGAGCCUUUAAAAAAAAAAAAAAAUCUUUUCUUUGUCAACUUAUCAUCUUGACCCACUCCGAUUUGGAGUAUUACUCAAUGUCUUUUAAGUUCCAUCACCUAUUUAUGUUUGAGAAAAUGUAAAUAAUUAUGUUGUUCAGUGAAGUUAUGCCAAAAAAAUAAAAAAUAAAAACAAAAAAUAAAAACAAAAACAAAAGUUGUUGUUUCAAAAGAAUAAAAAUAACAAUAAUAGGUGAAAUCCACCUUGCAAGUUCCAAAAAAAAAAAAAAAAAUCUGCAUUUUUCUCAAACAUACACUUUGUUUUCCUUAUUUCCCUUCUUUGUUAGCCAUAUCCCUAGCCUACGUUACGUCCUAAUAAAAGUCCUUCUUGAUUUUAGGAAACUAUAGUUUGAAGUAGAAGCUAGUUAUAUGGGCUAAAAAGAUGUAGUGAUGCAUAAUAAAAAAAAAAGAUAAAUAAAGUGGGUUGACUAACAUUUUAUUUGACUUGAGAUCGUAUUAUUUCUAAGCUGAGGGCAUAUUUAUUUCAUCUUGGUGAGAGCAUGUGAUAUCAUUUCUUUAUUAUUUUCUCUCUCAAUUACCAUUCAUUGGAGUGACUAUGUUUAUUGGGUUUUAAUUUCUUUGUGAGAGUGUCACUACUUCCAGUGAGAUUUUGGGGUUUGACAUGUCAUUCUUGAAAGUAGCUAUAACAAAGUCUACUGGGCUAAUUCAUGUGGAUGGUUGAUGUGGGUGUGAUGUUGCUUUAGACUGAAGAUAAUGCUUAUACUUUUAUUUGAUUGCUAUCAUUAAUCUGAUUGAAUAAACACGAGUGUUCCCAUAAAAAAAAAAAAAAAAUCAUUUUGAAUUUGAAUUUUGUUUUCGCUUUAUUUGCUAGGGACUAGCAAUAAGCUGGUUGGGGGGUGUGUUGAGUGUUAGAAAAUGCAUAUUUAUAAAGGAGAAAACCGUCAUUUUACAUUUCAAGUCUUAUUAACAACCCUUACUUUUAUGUAUUUAACCUUCUUGUGAUUUAAUUACAUGUCUUUUAUUUUAAUUAAGUAUUUUAUGUAUUUUAGGGGCAUUAUAGUCAUUUCACAAUAAAGGAGAGAUCAGAUGGCAAAACGGACAUCACUUUUGAACUCAGGACGGUCGAAAACCUUAGGAGGAGCAUAAAAGGAAAAAUGGCACUAUUCACAUGUACGGUACUAUUCACGUAUACGGUACUGUCUACGUUACUGUUCACGAAACUGUUCACAUAGACGGAUCGAUGACGUGGCAUUGACCGAUGAUGUGGCAUUAACUGAUGAGGUGUCACGAUCCUGUUGGACUAAACUUCUUAUGUACUGUUGAUGGUGACGUGGCAGCAUAUCAGUGGAUGAAAAAUCUCGCGUACGGUGCAUGCAUCACACAGGAUUAUUUUCAACCAAACCGCGUUACUGUUCAUCCGGGUCAAACCGUGUUACUGUUCAUCCGCGUGGUCAAACCGUGGACUGUUGACUGAUGACGUGGCGCAAUCCUGAGCGUCCAAACUAUUUUUAAUCCGAUGGCCAUGAUUUACUCCAUGUAUCUAUAAAAAGGGGGCCUCCCCCCCCCUAAUUUGAUAUCUCUGAAUCCAUUUUUGGGAUCCAUUUUCUGUAAUUCCCUCUCCAUCUUGUAUUUUCUUUGUAUUUUAAUAAAUUCCCAUUUUGCCCCUAGUUCAAUUAUGAGUGGCUAAUUUUCUUUCAAGCUUGGGUUGAAGGUGAAGUCUCAACAUGUGUCAUGGGCUUUAUUUGGUAAAUUUAUUUUCUUUUCCCCUCUAGUUUUUGUGGAUGAUUUGACUUAUCGUCGACAAAUAAUACUGAUCUUGUCUAGAUACCGCCUUGGUUACACCGGCUCUCUAGUAUAAGGUUAUUAUUAUUUGGCACGAUAAGCCCUUAGCACCAUAUUGAUUAGAGCGUGGUUCAUGAGGUGUGGAUCCCCCCCUCAUGAUUUAAUUGGCAUUAAUACGGAUUAUUUAGCCCAUGAUGCAUGUUGAUACGGAUCCAGAUACCCAAGUACGUCAUUUCAAUAGAUUUCGCUUCAACUUAUUCUCGCCAUUGCAAUUCCAAUUUUAGAAUUUAUUAUCGCAAUUUCAAUUCCAAUUUUAGGAUAAUUUAAAUCACUUCCACCACAAUUCCAACCACCCAUUUUGCAAAAUUAAUUCUAUACACAAUUAAAAUCCUCCUCCUCGUGGGAUCGACACUCGUCACCAUUGAUCUACACUACAAUAGAUUCGUGCGCUUGCGAGUACAUUAAAAUUUGCACAACAAUACCCACAGCGGCUAAUAGAACUCCACCAUAUUUUGAUUUCAAGUGACACCCAUCCAACCCGAUAUAUGGCCUACAGCCAUUGUUAAGGGCAUUUUUUUAAGCUGGAAAUGCCAUAAAGAAUCUUUGAAAGAGCACUUUCUCAGGCCUAGUUACAGCAUCACAAAGCACUUUACAAAUUGCACCAGGAUCAUACUUGUGAAUCACUGCAGCAUAUUGAAACAAAUCUUCGUAUCCCCUCGCAUGAUCUCCAUUAAUGUCUUUUCUUGCCCUCUCUCUAGCCCUAUAUAGUUUUAAAUCCCCUAUCCGCACACCAUAAGUCUCCAGCAUAAACUCACGAAGAACAGAAAUCUUCACAUGCGCAUCUACAGCAACUUUGCUCUUAAUUUUCUCUGCUAUCCAUUUAUUGUUCACAGCCACUGACUUUCCAGUCUGUCUACAUUCAUGCUUCUUUUGCAACUCUUCGAUUGCAAAUCCACCCUUGCCCCUUAUUUUACCUCCCAUCACAUACCAUGGACACUCAUUAAUCUUGCAUUUUCUGUAAAAUCUCCUAGGCUCAUUGUACACCUUUGUAAUUUCAAUGCCUUUAUCCACCAUCACUUCACCUAACACAUAUCUAAACUGUUCAACAUCAUCAAAUACAUCUCCUAACCUCAGCCUAUGUUUACCAUUACGCCUUGGCUUAUAUGCAUGCACUUCAAUAUCAUCCUUCAGCUGAGUGGUACCCAAAUCAUAAUAUGAAUCUGAUGUGUCUGCUAACAGCUGAGGAUCUACUUCAGCUGUUUCAUCGUCAGAACUAGAACCCCUAGCAUCAUCCAUAAUAUCUGCACCAUUAUCUUCAUUUUGGUCAUCGUCAUCAGCAUCAUCAUCAUCAGUGUCAUCUAUACGACUCCCAUCAGUUGAAUAUACUACAUCAUCAUCAUCAUUCUCAUGCCCAUCAUUCUCAUUCAGUUCUGUUGGUGGCCCUUGUAUGCCUCCAGUCCUAGGUGGUGGUUCAUUUCCACCAUCAUUCACCCAUGUAAUUUGCUCUGCAGAUAACUGCACUCCACAGUUAUGUAGCAUCGCUUGUAACACCCCACAAAGUGGUAAAUCAGGACGUAGGGUUGGCAAAAUUGUGGCUUCAAACACUGCCACUUCCAUUUAAUCAUGUACAGCGAACUGAGCCUGCAACACUGCCUCAGAAUCUACAGUAAUCGAAAGCUUGUCCCUUGGGUUGGUAACCGAUAACUGCACACUUUCAGGAGUUUCUUCAUCUGCUGCAGGGUAUAUUCUUCAGGUUCAAUCAACCCUAUAGGAUGUCUUUCACCUUUGUAAAGUAAAUGUAGUUGUAAUGGUAACAUCAUCUACCAGAUUAAAAACGAGGAAACAUUUUGAAUAACUAAAAUUACAGCAUAACUCAAAGCAAUUUAAUUAGGUAAAAAGUAAUGAAAAAUAACUAAAAUUAUGGCCAAUAACCAAAAUUUCAGCAAAACGGCAAAUGCAUGUAAGCUUAAUGGUUACAAAUAAAAAAUUAAUUAACAGUAAGCAAAAAUUAAUUAACAAUAGGCAACUAAUAAUCCUAAUCUAUUAAAUUCAAGUGCCAAUCACAACUCAAAGCAAUUUAAUUAGGUAAAAAGUAACGAACAAUAAUCAAAAUUAUGCCCAAUAACCAAAAUUACAGCAAAACGGCAAAUGCAUGUAAGCUUGAUGAUUACAAAUAAAAUGGCAAAAAUUCAUUAACAAUAACCAAGCAGUAAUCCUACUUACAAUGGACAAAGUAGAAGACAGUAGAGAUGGAAGAACACUGCUGCGAGAGUGAGAGAGAUAUGCGUCAGUUACAAUGAGCGAGAGAGAGCAGAGAUGGAAGAAGAAUCGAGAGAGAGGGGGAUUGAUUUCGAUUUCUAGGGCUCCAUGUCCAAAUUGCCCGCUUUCUUUACAAUUGCAAAACGCAACGUUUUCGCCUCACGUGAUAUGUCCAAAAUACCCUUAUGACGUCAGCAUAAUUUUUAUUCAGUUAACGGAAUUGUGGGAAAAUGCUAACAGUUUAAACAUUUAGUGGUAAAAUGAUAGUUUUACCAAACCAUGGUACUGACAUGAUGUGUCAGAAUACCUUUAGUGGGAAAAUGAUAAUAUCCCUAUGUAAAAUAUAUAAAUCUAAAAAAUAGUCUUGAAUUUUUUUUUUUUUUGGGCUCCUGUUUUAUUAUUCUUUUUCUAAAGUAAUUUUCUCUCUUCUUAUUAAAGGCUUGAGAUAAAUUAUAUAUCCCUUUUUCUUUUAUUGAAUCAUAAUUCUUCGUUUCUUCUAUUGAAUCAUAGUUCUUGUGAUUUUGAUUUUUAGUAUGUAUUGCCUACAAUUUAUCAUUGAGGUAUCAGUUACAUAAAUAUAAUUUUCCAUUAAUCUUAUUUCGAAGAUGUUAAUGAAAUAUAUUUGGUGAAAACGAUAUUAGAGUGAGGAUACGUGCACCCAUGACAAAAAUUUGCAAAGAACUCUUCAAUCUUUCAAAUUUUCCAAUUGAUAAAGAAUUGAUUUAAAAAGAAGAAGAAGAUGAUGAUGGUGAUUUAAGAUUUUAUAAUACAUGGGUGUGUCAAGGAUAUUUGUUUCAAGUUAAAAUUAUUCAAUCCUUAAUACUAAUUUCAUAAAAGGACGUUUUUAUAAUCUAAAAUUUUAUUAAAUAAAGAGGAUUAAAAAUAACUUUUAGAAUAUAUAAAUAAAUAGCCUCUCUCGAUUAUAAAGUACAAGGUCACUCGAUGAUGUCAUGAAUUUAUGUAAUCAAAUAUGAAUUAUGUAAAUGAAACAUAAGACUUAUAAAUUUAAUAUAAAACAUGUAAAUCAAUAUUAACUGUGAACUAACAUAUAAAUUAUGUAAAUAAAAUAUUAGACUUGUAAGUAGAAGGUAAAACAAACAAAUUAAUAUAGGAGUGAUAAAUUGGUAUAUUAUUGGUAAAUAAAAGAAAAACUUACAAAUGUAAUAUAUAAUUUAUAAAUCAAUAUUAAGUGUGAAAUAAAAUAUAAAUUGCGUAAAUGAAACAUAAGACAUGUAAAUAAAAGAUAAAAUAAGUAAAUUAAUAUAAGAUAUAAUAUAAAACUAUUAGUAGUAAACAAAAUAAAAAUUUAAAGAUAUAAUAUAAAACUAUAAAUCAAUAUUAAGUACAAAAUAAAACAUAAGUUUAGGUGUAAUUUACAAAAUUAAUAUAAGAUUUAUUAAAAAAAACUUACAAAUGUAAAAUAAAAAUUCAUUAUAAUAUUGAUUACCUUAUAUAUUUAUUGAUUCUAUUUUAAAUUGAAUAAUGAUAGUUUUUAUCUUAUGUAAUAAAUGUGAUGUUUUAUAUAAAUUUAUUCUCAAAAUUAGAUUUUGAAAUCUAUUCUUUUAAUGUUUUUCGAAUUUAUUGUAAGAUGACAUGAUUUUUCAUCCUUCUAAAUCUCCUCAUCAGCAAUGCAAAUAGUUUCUAAAUACAAGUAAGGGGUGACGGUUAAAAUUACAAGAAGUUUAUGUAAAACUCAAAACUAGAUUUAAUUUUAUUAAUAUGUCAUCUAUGUGUUUAGUAAUAUAAGAAUAUAUUUUUAUUUUAUUUUUUGUUUAAUCCACAUUAAGAUAAAUUAUUUCGCAUAGUUAACUUGUGUAGUAAAACAAAAAAAAAAAAUGACAGAAAAUGAAAAAAAAUAAGUUUAUAAAUAUCUUAAGACAAAUAUAGAAUUUAUUCUUAAACCAAUUUAGUAAAACUUAUUCUACUUGUUUUCAGUAUAAUUUUUUUGGUCUUAGAUUGAUGACUAUUUUUUUUUCAUUGUUUAGCUAAAGUAAAUGAAUAAAUUAUUUUUUCACUAAAAUUAUGUAGAAAUCAUGUUAAUUAUUUUAAUAAUUAACUGGUUUAUAUUAAUUUACAUGUUUUAUCUUCCAAUCACUUAUCUUAUGUAUAAUUUUAUAAAAUAUAUUUUUUACCACACCAUUAAUGCUGUAAUUCUAAUCAUGGCAUUAUAAAAUUUUCCAAUGUGGGGAAACUUCUUUACUCUAAAUAAAACUAGAGUUGUGUUGAGCACAAUUUAAAUAUCUAAACAGAGUUCCGUUGGCAUUAAACUUCAUUAUAAAAGAGUCUACAUUGGCAUCAUGCUAAUCUUAUUGACAAUAUAUAGUUGCCGGUAUUAAUUAUUUUUGCACCAUAGCUUCCGUAGAAUCAAUUGGGUACCCAGUUCCGGAUGAAGGGUUGGAACCGCCGUUGGAGCAUGUACAUAAGAUGGAGACAACUCGAAUGAGUAGUUUUGAAGAAUCAUUGCCGUGGCCAUUUUUGCUUCUACUAGAGCAAAAUUUUGUCCAACACAUAUCCUAGGACCCAAUGCGAAUGGGAAAUAUGAAACUUGAUUUUUCGCCGCCUUUGAAAUUCCUUCCGCAAACCUUUCCGGCUUAAACUCAACUGCAUCGUCACCCCAAAGUUCAGGAUCCUGGUGAACUAGGAUCAUUGGCAAGCCAAUUUGAACCCCAGCGGGUAAUGUCAAGUUUCCGAGUUUCGUUUCCUUAAAAACAGCUCGACUAAGCACAGUUACGGGCGGAUAAAGCCUGAGUACCUCGUAAAGUAUCAUCUGGACCUGUCACAUACAUACAAACACAACUGAGAUUAAUAUGAUCAAAUUGAUCAAUAUCGAAUACUAUUUCCUUCGUACUUACAAUUUUGAGGUGAUUCAAUCCAUCAUAGUCGGGCUUAUUAUUGCCAAACACUUGCAAAACCUCUUGCCUUGCACGUUCUUGCCAAUCUUGAUGCUUGCUCAAUAAGACCAUCGUCCAAUUAAGCAAAACAGAGGUAGUCUCUUGGCCGGCAAAGUAAAAUAGCUUACACUCUUCAAUCACAUCGUUCAUGCUGAACCCAACAUUUUUGUUAUUUCCAUGUUCUUCAAUCUCUCUAAAACUGGUUUCCAUCAGUAUGCCUAACAAGUCAUCAUUCGCAGCUUCCCCUGCUCUCAUUGCCUUCUCCCUAUUUUUGAUGAUUCCCAUCAAUGAAGCCCGGAUUUCCUUGUCAAUUUCUUUCAUUCUCCUAUUUCUCUUUGUAGGUAAAAACCUAUAUAUAACCAAUGAAACAACUGAAAAGACAAGAACUAAACAAACUAAUCAAACCCUUAAUUUUUUUUUUGCCCUCUUUUACCAAUCAGAAAUCUGCUGGAGCCUCUUAGAAUAACUCUAUGAUUAGCACAAUCAAGAUAUCUGAGCCGAAAUCAGCUAGGUCUACUUCUAAUAUUUUGCGGGAAAGAAAAUAACUCCCACAAAGCUAAUCAAAGCCUACUCAUAAAUAAUCCUAUAUGACAUGUAUAUAUGAAUGUUUCCAGUGAAGAGAAAUGUGAAUAUACCUCCAUCCUGGAAUGUGAACUGAACGAAAGACUUGCAUUGUGAGUUCAGCUAGCUCUGCCUGGAGCUGAAAAAUCCUUCUUCCUUCUUCAUAACUACUCCCAAAAGCCGUUCGAGAAAUCACAUCACUUGUUAAAUUUGCAAGAUAAGGCCAUACAUCCAACUCAGAUGAUCCUUCUACAGACAUUUGCUUCUCCCACUUUGUAAUUAUUUCGAUACAACUCAAGUAGAAUGCUGGCAACAUAAGCUGUAACAAAAGCAAGAAAUCUAAAUGAGGGCAAAAUCGAAUCUUCCAAAGAUAUGUAAACAAAUGGAGAAGUUAAUUAAUAAACCUUGAGCUUCUCUUGGUGGAAGGCUGGGUUGAUGAGUUUUCUAUGUUUAGCCCACUUCUCCCCCUCAAGGGUAGCCAAUCCAACUAUCAGCAGCCUGGCAAGUGGGAUUGAAUUGACUUUUUGAAAAUCAUUGAUCCUGGUAAAUAUCUCUUUUAUUUGAUCAGGAUUCAUAAUGUUCACCCUUGGUGUCGGACCAAACCACAUGAAAGAAUUCUUACCUGCAGAAUUUUUUUACCAAUAUAUACGCACAUGUUACUUGCUAGAGGCAGAUGGUACAUUGAAAAUGGUAGUAUACCUAAGCUGUGAAAAUUUAGUUAUUUUAUUCACAAAUCAGUCAAAGAAUAACCAUUCAUACUAAUUGAUUUUACUUCAAGCAGAAAAGAUCUAACAAGCAACUUUGCCCAUUAUAAGGUAAACAAUUAGAAACAUGGCACGAUUUUAUAAGAUUAUGUAAAAGCCUAAUGGCUUUGAAACAGUGAAUUAAUCAGACAACACUCAGCAAAAGGAACAACGCUGCCCUCUGGAAAUUUUACAUGUGGCAUAGCCCAUCCACUGGUUGAAUUACACCCACACGCCUAUCUCAUCAAGACAUUAGUGGUUCUAGCCACUCGGUCAAGGCUGAGUGGUAAAGUAUCACCACUUAAUUAAAAAGAAAAGAGAGAGAGAGAGAGAGAAGUUUAGCUGCAACAUCGAUUUUUUUCUCUGAUCAAAGAAGCGUAAAAAUAAAAUUAUGUUUUAACCCACCAAAAUUUUCCAGAAUUAUCUUUACGUGAAACAUCUCUUCUGAAUCAGAAGUCUAAUCAAAUUUCUUUCAUCAGACAGGAUUAAUUCUUUAAGCAGUGGCGCAGUCCAGAUAUUUGAGUCAUUUGAGUCCAGAACAGAACAAAUCUACUUUUGAACGAGUAAAGUUAAAAGAGUACACGCCGGGAUUGACAUACAUACCAUAAUCAUUUACCAGUUUAUGAAGGAAUGGAUUGACACGAAUAGCAAUAUUGUCAUCCAAACUGAGGGGUCUGGCUUUGGCUUCCUUCAGCUCGAUGGAAUUUUCUUUCAAGUCACCAAACAGAAGCCUGUAAGAAUUGCCUUUUAAACCUUGCUGUCUCAGGAAUUUCUCCAGCUUCUCGGGCCUCAGCCACACCCAGUUCAGCACUCUCCAUGCCCAUGUUAGCACCGUUACAAUAACAAUGGUCAAAGCUAUGGAUUUCAGAGGCAACUCCAUUUCACACUGACAGAUUUUGUGGGUUUAAAUUUGAAGAGACGAACGAGAAGAGUAUAUAUAGUCAUCAAGCGAAUGAGAAAAUCGUUUUCCUUUGCAUGUGUCUUUGAUUAGGUGUUUUCUGGAUCGAUGAUUUCAGAAUUUCCCCGGACAAAGACAUUGUCCCCAGUAAGCGGUGUUAACGAUACGUGUCAAGCUUGCAUGCGACUGUGAACUGUGGACUUUGUUCUAGAACUAGACUGUAUGGGAUCGAUUAAUUUUAAAAAAUAAACUAAAAUUCAUAUAGUAAGAAUUUUUAAGUAUAAAUGUUUGUAAAAUAAAAUCUAAACCUACAUUUGAAUGGCAAGCAUCUAUAAACAAGAUCUGUAUUCUGUCAUAUGACGCCAGGAAAUAUACUGCCUUUUCGUAAAUGCAUAAUCAAGCAGCAUGAUGUGCUCUGCUUUCACACGAAUGUAGGUCCACUAUGUCUUGGCUUUUACGGAAUUUCAAUUAUAUUGUUAUGGGGAUUAAUGGCUCUGCUUAAUUUUGGGGCCUGCUUUCAGAGAAAUGCAAAACGAUUAGAACUCUGCUUUGUGAUACAGACAAGACGCAAUGGUUCUAUCAUCUUCAUCUCUACUAUUUCAUUUAUCUUUAUCAUGAAUAUAAUCCACGAUUCUCAAACAUGAUAAACAAGGUCACAAACUAUGGUGUACCAAUCGGCUGUUUUUUUUUUUUAACUUAAUUAAUUUAAUUUUAACCAUUUAAAUCAUUGAGUCCAUUUAUUUUUUCAACUUAAUGAAAAUUUUCAAUCACUAAAUCAUUCAGUUAUCAAGCUAAUUUUUAAAUUUUUUGUUUAAUCUAAAAAGUCUAAAUAAUAACAUUAAAAGAUAUUCUCUAAAAUAUCUCUAUCUAAUUAAUUAAUUUUUACCCUUACCUAAAUAAAUUUUAAUAAUUGAUGUUAUUACCUACCUCUAUAACUUGUGAUAAUAUAGUGCACUAGUAGACUACUAUUAUUUUUAAUUUUUUAUUUUCUUCAAAUUAAAAUUAUUUAUCUUCAUAAUUUUUCAUCAAUAUUUUUCAUAUAAAAACAUCGUAAACUAUAGUAAAAAUGAUUAAUAUAUACUAAUUUAGAAUAUUAAAAAGAGUAUAGACAUUAUGAGACAGUAUCAUUAAGCAGCUACUGGAAUAAGAUGUUAUGAGCCUAAAUUUUAUAAGGUCAAAGUUGAAUUUGGCCGAUCCUCUAACCAAAAAAACUAAACAAGAGUUUAGUAGAGAUCACAUCAAGGGAGAUGGGACUAGUGUCUAGAUUAGAAGACAAGAGUGAUGGUAACCCUACCUAUGUGAUUGGAGAUCACAUGAAAAAUGUUCAAUAAGUUACUUGUUGUUUUGGAACACUAUCAAUAUUAUGUAAUCUUAUUUUUAUUCAAUAAAGAUUUUCUUUAUUUAUAAGUCCUCGUUAUAAUAAGAUAAUGUUUAUCGCAGUGAGUUAGGUUAAGCAAUUGAGCUUUUAAUGAACUCCAUAACUCACUUUUUAUGUAUGGUGGUGUGUUAAAACUGCAUGACAUACUUGAUGGAGGUUCACCUAUGUUAGUGUGGAAUUGGAUAAGUUCCUAUGAGAGUUAAACAUGCUUCUCUAGAGCGCUCAUGAAUACAAGAGCACAGGGCUACUAAAGUGCCAAACCGUAGAACAACAAAACAUUGAGAGAGUUUAAUGUGAGCUUCUAGUCAGCUGCCUUACAAAAAAAAGAAUAUUGGUUUAUAGAAAUUAUCAGUUUCACCAAGUUCCUAUGACACAUGGUUAGUUAUUCAAUGGCCAAUUCAUAACCCAAAUGGCACCAGUUCAUAUGCAUUAAACUCUAUGGACAAUGAUGAAAGAAAUUGAGUAUUUUGAAAUAUGUGGAGGAUUGUUAAAGAUUGAGUUUGUAUUUUAAAAUACCAAUAUUCCACAUUGCUUAAACAACAGAGUAUAAGUUGGUUUUUAUAUAGAUACCAAAUAUAGUGUAGUAACAAGCCUAUGAAGAGGAGGCCCAUAUGCAUGAAACCAAGAGCGAGUGAGGAGCUCAUUCCAUGACUCUAUUAAUUGGUUGCUCGUACCCAAUAACUCACUCGCAAUGGGGACCCUCCUUCCCCCCAUGGGGUGUUGUGUAUAUGUGUGGGCUUGGCCAUUUAUUAUGUUUUUGUCCUUUGUUUUAAUUUUAUUUAUUUUAAUUUGAAUUAAAUUGAGAAUUUAAUUCCUAAUCGAAUUAGGAUUUAAUAAAUAUAAUUAGAGUGAUGAUACAGCCAUAAACUCUUGUACAAACUUAUUUUGUACAAACUGAUGUGUCAUUAAUUCAUUGGCUGAAUAAAAAUAUAAAAUAAUAAAAAUAAAUCAUGUGGGCCAAGUAAUAUUUAAUUUAACCAAUCUUAUCAUGCCACAUCAGUUUGUACAAAAUAAGUUUGUACAAGAGUUCGUGACUAUAUCAUUACUCAUAUAAUUAUAAUUCGAAUUUAGAGAGGAAAAAGGGGUUAGGGCUUGUAUCUAUUUAAAGAGCCGAAUAUAUCACACUAUGGUCAUCCGAAAAUUUACUCUCUUGCUCUCUUCAUCCGAAAACUUACUCUCUUGCUCUCUGUUCUUUGUUGCUCUCUGUUUUCCUUUCUUUCGUCAUUGUACGUUUUGCUAUUCUAAACUAUCAAGUUGAAGUGCAACAUCACAAUCGUAAUAGUAAUUGUAUCAUAGAAAUCAAACUACUUUUGUUAGCCCUUCUUGCACCGAAAUACUGCAUCUUGAGAUAUCUUAAGGACAGUGCUAUCGCCAGCCUUAAAUGUUUGUUGUUUCCGUCCAAAUUUCAUUGUUUUUCAUCCUAAAAUUCCGACUGCUAGACCAGUAUAACUACUGGGGGAUAGAGCCUGGAUACCUAGUAGAAUAUCAUUUGAACAUGUAAGAUAUGCACACAAAAAGCAAAUUAAUACGACCAAAAUUUAUCAACUAUAGUAAAGCAUAUUUCAACUCAAUUUCAUUCGUACUUACAAUUUUGAGGUGAUUCAAUCCACCAUAAUCUUGCAAAAAACUUGCAAAAACUCUUUUCUUGCACGUUCUUGCCAAUCUUGAUGCUUGCUCAAUAGCAACAUUGUCCAAUUAAGCAAAACAGAGGUAGUCUCCUGGCCAGCAAAGUAAAAUUGCUUGCACUUUUCGAUCACAUCGUUGAAGCUUAUUCCAACAUUUUUGUUGUUUCCAUGUUCUUCAAUUUCUCUAAAAUUGGUCUCCAUCGGUAUGCCAAGUCAUCAUUUCCAGCUUCCUCUGCUUUCAUUGCCUUCUCUCUGUUUUUAAUUAUUCCCAUCAGUGAAGCUCGUAUUUGCUUGUCAAUUUCCUUCAUUCUCUUAUUUCUUUCUGAAGGUACCAGCCAGCCUAUAAGAAAUAGGAACAAUAGAAAAUACAAGAACGUAUUGAAUGCACUAAUCAAAUCCUACUUAUCGAUUUCAACAAUAUGAUUAACAUCUUAGAUUAACUAUAUGACGACAUGGAUCGAAGUUAUAAGCCCAGGAUGGGCCAAACCUACUUCCAUAUUUUUGAAAGAAAAUCAACUCCUACAUUGCUAAUUACUCCCAGAAGCCGUCCUCAGAAUCACAUCACUAGUUAAUUUUGCAAGAGAAGGCCGUACACCCAACUCACACGAUCCUCCUUUGGACGUCAGGUUCUCCCACUUUGUAAUUAUUUCACUACAACUUUGGUAGAACGCAGGCAACAUAAGUUGAAACGAAACAGAAAGAAAUUAAAAUGAAGACAUUUAUGUAAACAAAUGAAGAAAUCAAUUAAUAACCUAGAGCUUCUCUUGGUGGAACUGGUUCAUAAGAUUUCUAUAUUAACCCACUUGUCACCUCAUGGCUAACCAAUGCAAGUGCCAAUAAUCUGGCAAGUGGAUCUGAAUUGAUUUUUUGAAAAUCAUUGAUCUUGGUAGAUAUCUCUUUGAUUUGAUCGGGCUUCACAAUAUUCAACCUUCGUGUCGGACCGAACCACAUAAAUGAAUUAUUGCCUGCAUCAAUUUUUAAGCUCUGGUUAUUUUGCUCGUGGCAUAACUUACCACAGCUUGAGUUACACCCAUUAGCCCAUGAUAUCAAGAAAAUUAUUGGUCUCGCAAACAACAUAGCUCAAAUGUUUCAACACCAUACAUAUUUUCUUCAUUAAUAAAAAAACAAUUACGUUUUAACCCAUAAAAAUAUUCAAGAAUUAUCUUGAUGUGUAUGAUCUCUACUAACUACAAUUAUAACGAGAAGUCUAUUUGGAUUUCUUCCACUUAUAACAGCUCUACAAUUGUGCAAACUGAAUUAGUUUUAUUAAUAAUGGCACAAUCCAGUCGAGAUAUUAUCGUCUAAACUUUCUUUCAAGUCACCAAACAGAAGCCUGCAAGAAUUGCCUUUGAAACCUUUGCUGUCUCAGGAAUUUCUCCAGCUUCUUGGGCCCCUCAGCCACACCCAGUUCAGCACUCUCCAUGCCCAGUUCCCACUGUUACGAUAACAAUGGUCAGGUCUAUGGAUUUCAGGGGCAAUUCCAUUUCACACAGAGAGAUUUUUGAAGUGUUCAAAGAAAUGAGACUUGCCUACGUGGUAGAUUAGUUGAAAGUGAAUUAAAAAAAUAUUUUCGUUUGCAUAUGUUUAAUGGCUUUUCUUAGUUUCGAAUUUUCCUGUACCAUUAUAUUGUUUCCAGCUAAUGGUACACGUGUCAAUAUCAAUCAUGCAUGUGGUGAUCUUUGUGGACUUGUCACUCAUUGACUGUCUUCUAUAGAACUAGAGAAUGUAAGUUCGGUUAAUUAUUUGAAAAAAAAAAUUGUUUACCCCUAAUACAUUAAUUAUUCUCAAAAUAUCCUCAAACUAUAAUAAACAUUAAUCAAUCCACAAUUACUAUUAAGAAGGUAAAAAAAGAAAAAAGAAAUCAUCAAUCGUUCCCAUUUGAUCUUAUUUUUUGAAUGAUCAUUAGGGUAAAUUAAGGUUUACAAUAAUUUAGAGAUAACUGAAAUUAAUAAAAAAAUAAAUAAAAUAAAACUCAUCUAAAUAAAUUAUGCAUGGUGGGCCUAUUUGCGCUUUAAAAAAUACUCAAAAUAUACUAUUAUUUAUGUAUACUCAUUUACUUAUUUUAUAAAAAGGGUAGGGCUAUUUGCACUCUUAACAUUACUAUGAAUAUUCUUAUUUUAAUAAAUUAUUUUAUUACAAAAAUACCUAUUAUAUGAAUUACUAAUAUGGAAUCUCUCUUAUAAACUAACAUAAUAAAAUUACUCCAAACACUCACUAUUCAAUAUAUGAUUAUCUUGCCAUAAACCCGAAAAAUUUUUAAUCCAAUAUCUUAAACAAUAUUUAGUUAAACAAAGAGCAAAUCAAUACUUUUAAUAUAUUUUGAGCAUAUUUUUACUCUUUGAUUUUCAGAAGAAAAAAAAAAUUGCAGUCUUCUUCCUCUUCCUCAUCCUUCUUUUAGUCUUCUUUUUCUUCGGCUAUUUCUUCUUCCUCUUGUUUUCCUUUUUUUCUUUUUUUCUUUUUUUUUGGCUAGAUGGCAAAAAUAUUUUCAAUUGUUUGGUUAAAAAAUUGGGUGCAAAAACUAAUAUUGAAUACAUUCUUUAAUAGACAAAAGCUAAUAAAGAAUAUGUUUAGAAUAUAAUUUGAUUCCUUUGUGUACAUACUAAGUUGUUAUUAAUUCAUUUUGGAUGCUCAAUAGUUUAAUUGGUGUUUUGAGUAAAUUAGUUUAACUAGUUUAAUUAAGGUCUUUUUUUUGUAUUUUAAAGAGUGUAGAAAGUAAAUUUUAAUUAUUUUAAAUUCAGCACAUGAUUGUACAGACUAAUAAAGUGUUCAAAGUAAUUUUUGGAGUAUAAAUAACCUAAUCUUUUGAAAAAUGGUGGGACUAUUUGAAUCCACCAUAAUACUCAUUUGACCCACUUUUUAGAAAACAUUUUUACUACUAAAUUGUCUCUAACGUAAAUCACUAUUAAAGACAUAAUAGUAUGUAUAUACUUCAUGCUCUCAUCUUUUAAUCAUGUCUAAAUCUGUUCAAUGUAGACAUAAGAGAAAAUUGGUUUCAUACUUUUAAAUUUUUUUUAAAAUUUUCUUCAACUCCUUUGGUCGAAAACAAAUCUAAUCGAGUUGUUGGAUACUUGGAUUUGGUCAAAACUAUCUCACCAGUAAAGCUCAUUCGAAUCCAAUAAACCAAUAAGUUCUAGUCAAGAUAUUCUAGAUUCAAGCAAUAAAAUUUAGGAAAAUUAUCAGUCAUAUACUUUUAAAUGACACCCGCAUUAAACGUGUGUGAACACUUUUCAAAUGUAUCACUCGUGUACCCUAAGAUGACAAAACACUUCUGCCAUCCGCCAAUCCGUUAACUUCCGUUUGCAAGCGUUGACAUCAUAAGGGCAAUUUAGUCUUUUAAGAUUGACGAAACUUUGAUUUACAAAAACGACAUGUCAUCUCAUUUACCUAGUACAAAAUGACAUGUCAUAUGAUAUAUAUUGACAAAAAUGACAUGUCAUCCCAUUUAUCGGAUAAUUGUUAAUAAUUGCUAAAAAAACUACUUUACAACCGAAUCUACUCCUCUAAAAUUUAACCUAAUUUUGAAGAUCUACUCCUCCAAGUUCCAACUGGAAAGUUUUAUGGUAUAAUAUGUAUAAUUGUGAAUAAUAUGUUGUUAAUAAUUUUUUAUGGUAUAAUAUGGAUAUUUUUUAUGAAUAAUUGUUAAUAAUAUGUACCAUUAAUAAUUCAUUUUUUUAAUAAAAAAAUGUAUUGUUAAUAACAAAAUAAAAAAAAAUUGUGUAUUGAAAAUUUACGUUAAUUUUUGGGGUAAAUUUAUCUUUUUACCUUAUAUUUUGAGUUUCAAGGGUAAAAUAGUCAAUUUGUCACAAUUCUGUUAACUUUCUAAUGGAAGUUAACGAAUCUAAUGGAAGUUAACGAAUUGAUGGAUGGCAUAAGUGUUUUGUCAACUUAGGGUAUACGAGUAAUACACUUGAAAAGUGUUCACACACGUUUGAUACGGGUGUCAUUUAAGAGUAUAUGGCUGAUAAUUUCCCUAAAAUUUAUUUCAUUAAAUUUGCACUAUAUAAGAAAGGGAAAAGUUAUGCCAUUGACAAAUAUUGAGCGCUUGAAUUAGUUGUGUGAUCAAUUGAUUAUUGAUUACAACUAUCAUCUUAUUGUCAUUUAAUUUUUUCAUGAUAUUAUAUAUAUUUUAUAGCAGUUUAAUGACAAGCACGGACAAAAAAUAAAUUCCACUUGAGAAGUUGAAGGAUACGACCUUUGGUUAUGAAUGCGUCAAGGGUUGGAGAGAUGGAAGAAGAAGAAGAGAAGAAAAAUGUUGCAGAAAAUCAUGAAUUAAUUUCAAGGAUAUGUUGGUUAUUAACAUGGGUUUAUAAAGUAUAAUAUAAAAUUUUUAACAAUAGAAUUAAUAAGUAGAUGAGUUUACAAAGUAAUUUGGUGGGUUCAAAUAUACUCACUCUUUAAAAUAAUUAGUUUUUACUCUGCAUACUCUUUUUUUUUUUUUUAUGAGAAAGUAAAGCUUUCAAUUGAUUAAGAAGAAGAAAACAACAUCAACACCUAGACAGGGAAAUCACCUAUCCAGGUGACAGCAUCCUCAAACUCAAGAGCUACAUUAGCUAAGUUAUGGGCUAUUACAUUACACUUUCUUGGGACAAAACGAAUAGCUGCCGAGGCCUGGUUUUUCAACUCUGCUUGUAUUUCUUCAAUGUUCCAACAAAUUUUAGCUAAACUUUCCUUCUUGUUUAAAGUGAGCUCCACAACUUCCUUCAAGUCUGAUUCAACAAUGAAUUGGGCACAAUUUGUUUUCUGAGCUACUUGAAUACCGAGCAGCACUGCUUCUGCCUCCAUGUUUGCCACAUUUCCUUUUAAAGCUACUCUCUUAACAGCUGCAGCCAUGAUCUCAUAAAAUACUAAAAAAGCUACUCUCUUAACUCUAUACACUCUUUAAAAUACUAAAAAAGUCCUCAACAAAACCUUUAAGUAAAUCAAUUAAGAAUUUCAAGCUAAAAUAAAUCUAUACAUGUAAUCACAAUUUAUUAAAAAUGGUAGUAAAACUUUUAUAUUUGAAGUCAAGUACUUAAUUACCAAGCUUAAAUAAAUUAAACAAUUAAAAUUUAUUCAUCUUUUUAAAUUUUAAAAUAUUAUUAGUCAAAAGUUUCAAUAAUAAACUAAACUCAACUUAACAUAAAGUUAUUUGGGUGUCAUUGUUUCUUUGUCAUACACUCUACCUUUUUUUUUAAGAACCUACUGUUGACUGUUUUUCUAUCAAAAACUCCUUAAAAUAUUUAAAUUUUAUCUUCUAACUUGUCCUCUUGGUUAAUGUAACUAAUAACUAAAAUCUCAAAAUUCACAUAAAAGUUUAUGAAAUGUUGAUAUAUAGUUGUUACUAUAUUUUGUUUUUGUAAGUAUUGGCAUUUUUUCAAUUAAAUUAUUUUUAUAAAUAAAUUAAAACAGUAAUAAUAUUUUAGUCCCCAAAUCUUUUCAAUCUAUUCAAUAAAUAUAUAAUUUAAUUUUUUCAUGAAAUAAGUCACUAAUUCCAAUUGGGAAGAAAAUAUAAUUGAAUUAGGAACAUAUUUAAAAAUAAAAUAAAAACUCUAUUAUUUUAUAAAAAUUGAUAAAAAAAAAAAAAACAUAAGGGUAGUUAAAUUAGGGACAUAUAUGAAAAAAAUAAAACUAUAUUAUUAUAUAAAAUUAAUGAAAAAAUAAGGGGUAUAAAUAACUUUCCUGGACUAAUCCGGGCUACACCCCCGCUUAGGUCCGCCUGCGCACUCAUUACUCCAAAUACAACGUUUAAAUUUUAAAAUCAAAUUUUUACUAUGUAAAAUAUAUAAAUCUAAAAAAUAGUCUUGAAUUGUUUUUUUUUUUGGGGCUCCUGUUUUAUUAUUCUUUUUCUAAAGUAAUUUCUCUCUUCUUAUUAAAGGCUUGAGAUAAAUUAUAUAUCCCUUUUUCUUUUAUUGAAUCAUAGUUCUUCGUUUCUUUUAUUGAAUCAUAGUUCUUGUGAUUUUGAUUUUUAGUAUGUAUUGCCUACAAUUUAUCAUUGAGGUAUCAGUUACAUAAAUAUAAUUUUCCGUUAAUCUUAUUUCGAAGAUGUUAAUGAAAUAUAUUUGGUGAAAACGAUAUUAGAGUGAGGAUACGUGCACCCAUGACAAAAAUUUGCAAAGAAGUCUUCAAUCUUUCAAAUUUUCCAAUUGAUAAAGAAUUGAUUUAAAAAAGAAGAAGAAGAUGAUGAUGGUGAUUUAAGAUUUUAUAAUACAUGGGUGUGUCAAGGAUAUUUGUUUCAAGUUAAAAUUAUUCAAUCCUUAAUACUAAUUUCAUAAAAGGGCAUUUUUAUAAUAUAAAUUUUUAUUAAAUAAAGAGGAUUAAAAAUAACUUUUAGAAUAUAUAAAUAAAUAGCCUCACCCGAUUAUAAAGUACAAGGUCACUCGAUGAUGUCAUGAAUUUAUGUAAUCAAAUAUGAAUUAUGUAAAUGAAACAUAAGACUUAUAAAUUUAAUAUAAAACAUGUAAAUCAAUAUUAAUAGUGAAAUAACAUAUAAAUUAUGUAAAUAAAAUAUUAGACUUGUAAGUAGAAGGUAAAACAAACAAAUUAAUAUAAGAGUGAUAAAUUGGUAUAUUAUUGGUAAACAAAAGAAAAACUUACAAAUGUAAUAUAUAAUUUAUAAAUCAAUAUUAAGUGUGAAAUAAAAUAUAAAUUGCGUAAAUGAAACAUAAGACAUGUAAAUAAAAGAUAAAAAAAAGUAAAUUAAUAUAAGAUUGGUAAAUUAAUGUAUUGGUAGUAAACAAAAUAAAAAUUUAAAGACAUAAUAUAAAGCUAUAAAUCAAUAUUAAGUACAAAAUAAAACAUAAGUUUAGGUGUAAUUUACAAAAUUAAUAUAAGAGUUAUUAAAAAAAACUUACAAAUGUAAAAUAAAAACUCAUUAUAAUAUUGAUUACCUUAUUUAUUUAUUGAUUCUAUUUUAAAUUGAAUAAUGAUAGUUUUGGUCUUAUGUAAUAAAUGUGAUGUUUUAUAUAAAUUUAUUCUCAAAAUUAUAUUUUGAAAUCUAUUCUUUUAAUGUUUUUCAAAUUUAUUGUAAGAUGACAUGAUUUCUCAUCCUUCUAAAUCUCCUCAUUAGCAAUGCAAAUAGUUUCUAAAUACAAGUAAGAGGUGACGGUUAAAAUUACAAAAAGCAUCUGUAACACUCAAAAUUAGAUAUAAUUUUAUUGAUAUGUCAUAUAUCUGUUUAGUAAUAUAAGAAUAUGUUUUUUUUUUUUAAUCCACAUUAAGAUAAAUUAUUUCGCUUUGUUAACUUGUGUAGUAAAAAAAAAAAAACAAUGACAGAAAAUGAAAAAAAAAAGUUUAUAAAUAUCUUAAGACAAAUAUAGAAUUUAUUCUUAAACCAAUUCAAUAAAACUUAUUCUACUUGUUUUCAGUAUAAUUUUUUUGGUCUUAAAUUGAUGACUAUUUUUUUUUCAUUGUUUAGCUAAAGUAAUGAAUAAAUUAUUUUUUCACUAAAAUUAUGUAGAAAUCAUGUUAAUUGUUUUAAUAAUUAACUGGCUUAUAUUAAUUUACAUGUUUUAUCUUCCAAUCACUUGUCUUAUGUAUAAUUUUAUAAAAUAUAUUUUUUACCACAACAUUAAUGCUGUAAUUCUAAUCAUGGCAUUAUAAAAUUUUCCAAUGUGGGGAAACGUCUUUACUCUAAAUAAAACUAGAGUUGUGUUGAGCUCAAUUUAAAUAUCUAAACAGCUCUUGUCUAAGCUUUGAAUCUCAAUACAAAAUUAAAGGUGUGUUUGGCACGCAGCAUUACACCACAUUAAAACUCUGUAUUGUAUUAAAUCAAUACAAUAUCAUGUUUGGUAAAAAGUUAACUUUGUAUUAAACCUCAUUAUAAUACACCAAACGCCGCAAAAAAUAAACCCGUGGGGGAGUCGUAAUUAGGCCGCAUUGCAUUCGAAAAGAGAAAUAAAAUAUUUUCUUCUUCCAAACACGAUCCUCAGCCACGACCAUGAAACAAAAUUUCCCUUCUCAAAACCCAAAACAAUACUUUUCUCUCAAACUCACUCAUCUAUUCACUGAUUUUCCUCCAUUCUCCUUCAAUUUCUCAAGAGCCAAACAUAGCAAACGCCUUGUCAGUGCGGCCAAGCCCAGCCGUCGUGCAGCGUGAAUCAUUAAAUGAGUGGUGCAGCCGCAGCAUCUGAAUCUUUAAUUGGAGCGACGGUGUCAUUUGAAUUCGAACAACAGCGUGGUGCGGCGGUGGUGCUAUGGCGAGAUUCGAACGGAUUCACGUGCAGAUUUCAUUUUUCCAUUUAGGUAUUCAAGUGUUUUAGUUGAUGGCUCUAUAAAGCCAAAUAAAUAAAUAAAUAAAUAAUAAUAAUCUAUUGAAAUCAUUUUCAUGAAAUCUGGAAGUGUAGAGGCGUUGAUGUGAGAGAGAGUGAGUAAGAGGGUAGUGGAGAUUGUGGUGUUGAAUUGAUGAAUUUAGGAGAUGGGCAUUUUUUUUUUUAAUUUGUUGGCUUGUUUGUUGGUUUGAAUGUUUGUGUUCUGUUUUCUAGCAAUUGUUGUGGGAAUGAGGUGAAUGUUAAGAAUUUGGAGAAGAAUGUAAAAAUAUUGGUGAUUCGAAUUUUUCAAAAAAAAAAAGAAAAUCAUGGUUGAUUCUUGCAUGAAUAAGAUGAUUGCUGCUAGAACAGUCAGUUACUUUUUUUUUUCUGUUUCCCAAUGUUUCACUUUUCCAACUCUUGUUGAUUCAGGGGAAGCCUGAGUUGGUGGCCGAUGAUGAAACCAAGAUGGCACAGAUGGUUUGCUCUCCAACAAACCAUGAAGAGUACACGGCUUGUGGAAGUUAAAGGAGCAAAUUCUGGUUAUAUUCCUUGAAAAAUAUAUAUUACCUAGGCAUAGGUUACUGACCCUUAAUUGAAGGGGGCAUGUUUUGAUAAUAUGGGUAUCUGAAGUAUGAUUAAAUAACUUUAACAUGAAGUAACUUAAAAUGCUAUGUAUAGCUUAUGUGUUAAUAUAUCUUGUUAACUGUAUAGUUCCUAUUUUGUGCUGGGUUGCUGUAUUAAGAGUUUGAAUACUGUGGAACCUGAAGUAACGAUGACAAUUUAUUGAAUUAGGUUAUGACAAUUUAUUGAAUUAGGUUAAUUACAAUUAACACUAGUGUUACUCAUGAUUGCAAAGUUGUAUUUUUUGGUCCGAUUUUAUCCUAGGAAUGAUAUGAGAAGUUUUAAAUAUGGUGCUUUACUUAAGAUUUUAUAUGCCUUCUUGUGAAUUCAUGCAUACUUAUUCAUGUCUCACAUCUUCUCAUUGGGUGCUCAGAACGCAUUUUGGUAAUUGCAUGCAAUAACAUUGAGGGGUGAAUGGUGAUGGCCUCCUUAAAUGGAAGAAAUGAAUGAAUGGAUUAGGAGAAGCCACAGUAAGAGUGGAGUGCAUUUGAAAUUCCUAUCACACCCAUUUGGAUGCACUGUUUUCCACUCUAUUUAAAUUUCCUUUAUCCUUCAAAUUAAGUUGAAAGUAGUUUUGAAUUUUGAUGAUGGAGCCUUAGACUCUUGAAAAUCUUGAAGAUUGCGAUGUUGCUGAAGAGCAUGGAGAUGGAGUGAUUGCUGAAGAUGCUGAAGCUGGUGUUGCUAUUGUUGCUGCAAUAGUGAAGUUGUUGAGGUUAGUAGCAGCAUUGUAAAUGGCGGUGUUGUUGCUGCUGAAGAGAGCCCGCAUGGUAAGGGAUGAUAUUUGACAUUAUUUAUGGAUAUAGCAUAACCGUUCUUAUUCUAAUAUUCAACAUUAAUUUUACAGAUGAAGAGAAGCCUUAAUAUUGCUGCUUGCUAGGGAAAGAAUAAGUGAAGAGAAGCUGAAUCAGAUCUUAGAAGACAUGCUUGAAGGUUUUUUUUCCAAUAAAAAGAGAAGCAACAUCACAAAGACUACUUAUUGGGGCAAAAUUAAUAUUGGGAAGAAGAAUAAUCCGUGGGAAAAUGCUAUGUAGAUGCUCCUAAGAUAGAGAUAUAUGAGUUUUGUAACUAAGUUAAUAUCUUGGUUACUAAUUAUAGUGAAACACAUUUAUUUAGAUUCUUAUUAGGUUUAUUAUUUUCUUGGAACUUGCUGUGGACAAAGAAUUUAAUAUGUCAAGUGAAUUGUGUCUAUUGUACAUCGACUUUAACAUAUAAUAAAUCAAUAAAUGAUUCAAUUUUAACAGUACCUGUAUUUAUAUCAAUAAGACUUUCAAAGAUACUAUAAAUAUAAGUUUGUAUAUUUGAAACCCUAGUGUUCAAUAAAUUUGAAUAAUAUUAAUUUAUUAAUAAAUUAAUAUUUUUACAUUAUAAUUUAUUCAUAAAUUUAUAAUUUAUUAUAACUAAUAAUAAAUAUUUAAAUUUGAAUAAAUUUGAAUCAUAUUAAUUUAAAAUUAAUAAUAAUAUAAAUAAUAUAAAAUAUUAACACAAUUUAAAUAUAUUAAUAUAAUAUAAUAUAAUAUUUAAUUUCAAUUAAUCACAAAAAAAUAAUACAGUGUAGCACCAAAUAUUGUACAAUAUUAUUAUAAUACAGUACUAAUGCAAUACAGUAUAAUACAAUACAAUGUGCCAAACGCACCCUAAAUACAUUAAACUUCAUUAUAAAAAAGUCUACAUUGGCAUCAUGCUCAUCUUAUAGUUGCCGGUAUUAAUUAUUUUUGCACCAUAGUUUCCGUAGAAUCAAUUGGGUACCCAGUUCCGGAUGAAGGGUUGGAACCGCCGUUGGAGCAUGGACAUAGGAUGGAGACAACUCGAAUGAGUAGUUUUGAAGAAUCAUUGUCGUGGCCAUUUUUGCUUCUACUAGAGCAAAAUUUUGUCCAACACAUAUCCUAGGACCCAAUGCGAAUGGGAAAUAUGAAACUUGAUUUUUCGCCGCCUUUGAAAUUCCUUCCGCAAACCUUUCCGGCUUAAACUCAACUGCAUCGUCACCCCAAAGUUCAGGAUCCUGGUGAACUAGGAUCAUUGGCAAGCCAAUUUGAACCCCAGCGGGUAAUGUCAAGUUUCCGAGUUUCGUUUCCUUAAGAACAGCUCGACUAAGCAUAGUUACGGGCGGAUAAAGCCUGAGUACCUCAUAAAGUAUCAUCUGGACCUGUCACAUACAUACAAACACAACUGAGAUUAAUAUGAUCAAAUUGAUCAAUAUCGAAUACUAUUUCCUUCGUACUUACAAUUUUGAGGUGAUUCAAUCCAUCAUAGUCGGGCUUAUUAUUGCCAAACACUUGCAAAACCUCUUGCCUUGCACGUUCUUGCCAAUCUUGAUGCUUGCUCAAUAAGACCAUCGUCCAAUUAAGCAAAACAGAGGUAGUCUCUUGGCCGGCAAAGUAAAAUAGCUUACACUCUUCGAUCACAUCGUUCAUGCUGAACCCAACAUUUUUGUUAUUUCCAUGUUCUUCAAUCUCUCUAAAACUGGUUUCCAUCAGUAUGCCUAACAAGUCAUUAUUCGCAGCUUCCCCUGCUUUCAUUGCCUUCUCCCUAUUUUUGAUGAUUCCCAUCAAUGAAGCCCGGAUUUCCUUGUCAAUUUCUUUCAUUCUCCUAUUUCUCUUUGUAGGUAAAAACCUAUAUAUAAGCAAUGAAAGAACUGAAAAGACAAGAUCUAAACAAACUAAUCAAACCCUUAAUUUUUUUUUGCCCUCUUUUUACCAAUCAGAAAUCUGCUGGAGCCUCUUAGAAUAACUCUAUGAUUAGCACAAUCAAGAUAUCUGAGCCGAAGUCAGCUAG
rnacentral:lncRNA from 1 species